AGAAAUGAAGUCCUUCUCUCCAAUUUCUUUUCAAAAAGUAGACAAAUUAAGAAUAAGUAGUCUAUAAGUAAAAACUUCAAAGCACAUUACAAUAGCUAAAGCUCUCAAAAUUAUAUAUAAUCAUUUGAAUACUUAGCUUAGGCAUGCACCACUACAUUAUAUAUAAGCAUACAAUGUUAAUAUAAUGUUGACAAGCUAUUCAACCAAACCUUCUUCUUUUAAAAGGAAAAGGAAAAAGAAAAAAGUAGCAGACAACUAAUUUUAAUGUUAUUCACUUAAGUUACAUUUCUAUUGUUUAAGAAAAAUAUUCAAGAUAAAUGAUAGUAUAUGUUUCUCCUUUAUAUGUUCUAGGGCUUUAUCUUACUUGUUAGAAUUAAGUGACCCAAAUCCUUAUUUAAAUAAAAUACUGUGGUAAAAUAAAAUAAAAGUAAAAUCCCUAUAGAAUUAUACUUCUUUUAUUUUAUUUUAGAAUAAGGUUUCUAAACCUUAUUAAACUCCAUCUAUUUGAUAUUAUUUGAAUAAGGAGCUUCACUCCUAUUAGAAUAAGGUUACAAGCCUAUAAAUAGGCAUAGUCUACUCCUCUUGUAAUUAAGUUUUCGACAUAGUGAAUUUUCUUCUCCUCUACCCGUGGUUUUUUUUCCCGAAAGGGUUUCCACGUAAAAUUUGUGUGUUCUUUAUUUUUCUAUUUCUAUUUUUCUUUGCGAUAUAUUGUCAUUACCGACAUUAUAUUUUUCUCAAAUUGGUAUCCGAGCUUCCGGGUUGUUCAUCUCAAUCACGGUAAUGACGUCUUUGAAGUACGAAAUUCUGCUGUUGGAUCGCAAUACCAGAUUUGCAUUAUGGCAGAUAAAGAUGCAAGCAGUUCUUGCACAGAUGGACUUAGAGGAAGCCCUACUAGGGGUAGAUAAGAUGCCUUCAACUUUGACGGAAGAAGAGAAGAAGCGCAAGGAUCGAAAGGCGUUAACACAGUUACAUCUACAUUUGUCUAACGAAAUUUUGCAGGAUGUGAUGAAGGAAAAGACUGCCGCUGGAUUAUGGAAGAGGUUGGAACAGAUACGUAUGUCGAAAACUCUAACUAGAAAACUACAUAUGAAGCAGCGUCUUUAUGCUCGUCGUUUGGAGGAAGGUGCAUCUGUGCACGAACACUUAACAGUGUUCAAAGAAAUUCUCUCAAACUUGGAGGCCAUGGAGGUUCAGUAUGAUAAGGAAGAUCUAGGGCUGAUUCUACCUUGUUCGUUGCCCCGUCUUGUUCAACCUUUAGAGAUACAAUUUUAUAUAGCCAUGAGUCUCUCACAGUUGAUGAGGUUUAUGAUUCGUUAACCUCGUAUGAUAAGAUGAAUCAUCUUGUGGUUAAAACUGACUCUCAGGGAGAGGGUCUUAUUGUUCGUGGGAGACAAGAUCGGAAUGCUGAUGAUGAUCGUGGAAGGACACAGGAACGGAAUCCUUGCAGUAAAUCUAAAGGUAGAUCGAAGUCUUCAAACAGAGGUAAAACUUGUAACUUUUGCAAGAAGAAAGGGCACAUUAAAUCUGAGUGCUAUAAGCUACAGAAUAAGAUCAAAAGGGAGGUUGCGAAUCAAAAUGGAAAACAACUAGAAAAUUCUGGUAAAGCUGAUGUUGUAGAAGAUUACAGCGAUGGUGAACUUCUAGUCGCUUCUGUCAACAAUUCCAAAGUGAGCGAGGAGUGGAUCCUUGAUUUGGGUUGCACCUUCCACAUGAGUCCCAAUUGGGAUUGGUUUACAACUUACGAAAUAGUGUCUGAAGGUAUUGUGUUGAUGGGAAAUAAUGCUUCAUGUAAAAUUGCAGGUGUUGGAACAAUUAGAGUUAAAAUGUUUGAUGGAGUUGUUAGAACACUCAGUGACGUACGACAUGUUCCAGAAUUAAAGAGAAAUUUAAUUUCAUUGAGUACUCUUAAUUCAAAAGGGUACAAAUACACAGCUGAAAGUGGGGUUUUGAAAAUUUCCAAAGGUUCCCUCAUUGUGAUGAAAGGGCAGAGAAAGACUGCCAAGUUAUAUGUUUUGUAGGGUUCUACUGUUACUAGUGAUGUAGCUGUCUCAUCCUCUUCCUUGUUAGAUGAUGAUAUUACUAAAAUUUGGCAUAUGUGCCUAGGGCAUAUGAGUGAGAAUGGCAUGGCAGAAUUGAGCAAAAGAGGACUUCUUGAUGGGUAAGAAAUUUGCAAACUGAAGUUCUGUGAGCACUGCAUUUUUGGGAAGCAAAAGAGAGUUCGAUUCACCAGAGGAAUCCAUAACACGAUGGGAACGUUAGAGUAUAUACAUUCUGAUCUAUAGGGGCCAUCCAGAGUGCCUUCGAGAGGUGAAGCUAAUUAUAUGCUAACUUUUAUUGAUGAUUUUUCCAGAAAAGUGUGGGCGUUCUUCCUGAAGCAGAAAAGCGAUGUGUUUUCCGCAUUUAAGUCUUGGAAAACCAUGAUUGAAAAACAGAAAGGAAAGCAAAUAAAAUAUCUCCGUACAGACAAUGGCUUAGAGUUCUGUUCUAAUGAAUUUAAUAAACUAUACUAGUCAGAAGGGAUCAUGAGACACUUGACAGUUCGUCAUACUCCACAGCAAAACGGCGUUGCAGAACGAAUGAACAGAACGAUCAUGGACAAGGUUCGAUGUAUGUUGUCAAAUGCCAACUUAUCAAAGUCAUUCUGGGUAGAAGCAGCCUGUACUGCAUGUUUUUUGAUCAACCGAUCUCCAUCCGUUGCCAUUGAGAAAAAGACUCCACAAGAGGCAUGGUUUGGUAAUCCUGCUGACUAUUCUAAUUUAAAUAUCUUUGGUUAUCCUGCGUAUGCUCAUGUGGAUAAUGGAAAAUUGGAACCAAGAUAUAUUAAAUGUGUUUUUCUUGGUUAUAAAUCUGGUGUAAAAGGGUAUAAGUUAUGAUGUCCUUAAAAUAGAAAAGUUGUGAUUAGCAGAGAUGUUGUUUUUGAUGAAACUGCUAUGCUACCUAACUUAUCUCUUAAAGACUCUUCCAAUAAAGAAAAUCAAAAGCAAGUGGAGCAUCAGAUUGAUCUAGAAUCUACAACAGAAUCGACUACUAAAGCCAGUACAAAAAUUCAAAAUAGAAUUGCUUCUUCACCACAAUACUCUAUCGCUAAAAAUAGAACUAGAAGAGAAAUUAAACCUCCAAAGAAGUAUGCCGAGGCUGAUCUAGUUGCUUAUGCUUUAAAUGUGGCUGAAGAUAUAGAUGCAAAUCAAGAGCCAUCUAAUUAUUCUGAGGCGGUUAGUUGUGAAGACUCAGAAAAAUGGAUGCUUGCUAUGCAAGAGGAGAUGGAAUCACUACACAAAAAUCAAACAUGGGAUUUUGUGAAACUUCCUAAAGGUAAAAAGAUUGUUCGUUGUAAAUGCGUGUUUAAAAAGAAAUAGGGUACUCCAAGAUUUGAAGAACCCAGAUAUAAAGCAAUGCUUGUUGCAAAGGGUUACAGUCAAAUUCCAGGAGUGGACUUUACAGAUGUGUUCUCUCCAGUUGUGAAGCAUAGUUCGAUUCAAGCUUUGCUUGGUAUUGUGGCCACGCAUGAUUUGGAGCUUGAGCAGUUAGAUGUAAAAACUAUAUUUUUGCAUGGAGAACUUGAGGAGGAUAUUUACAUGCAACAACCAGAGGGUUUUACAGUUUCAGAAAAAGAGGACUAUGUUUGCUUACUGAAAAAGUCCCUUUACGGUUUGAAAUAGUCACCAAGACAAUGGUAUAAGAGGUUUGAUUCCUUUAUGACUUCUCAUGAUUUUAAAAGAAGUAGCUUUGACAGUUGUGUUUACUUUAAGAAAAACAGUGAUGGUUCUUUUGUGUAUCUACUCCUUUAUGUUGAUGACAUGUUGAUAGCAGCGAAAGAUAAAGGAGAGAUAAGAAAGGUCAAAGCCCAACUAAGUGAAGAAUUUGAGAUGAAAGACUUGGGACUAGCAAAGAAGAUACUUGGUAUGGAGAUUCUCAGGGAUAGAAAAGCAAGUAAAUUGUAUCUAAGUCAGAAAGGGUACAUUGAGAAAGUUCUUUCCAGAUUCAAUAUGCAGAAUGCUAAGCUUGUUAGUACUCCUUUAGCAGCCCAUUUUAGACUUUCAUCGGCUUUGUCUCCACAAUCAGAUGAUGAGAUUGAGUACAUGUCACAUGUUCCAUACUCUAGUGCAGUGGGAUCUCUCAUGUAUGCCAUGGUUUGUUCACGUCCAGAUUUAUCAUAUGCAGUUAGUGCAGUUAGCAAAUACAUGGCGAAUCCUGGUAAAGAACAUUGGAAAGCAGUUCAGUGGGUUUUAAGAUACUUACGAGGUACUACCGAUGUUUGCUUACAGUUUGGAAGAACUAGAGAUGGAGUCAUUGGGUAUGUUUAUGCUAAUUUUGCUGGGGACCUCGAUAGAGAAGAUCUCUCACCGGUUAUGUUUUUACAAUCGGAGGUUGUGCAAUCAGUUGGAAAGCCAGUUUGCAAACUACAGUCGCUUUGUCUACCACUGAAGCUGAGUACAUGGAGAUUACCGAGGCUUGUAAAGAAGCUAUAUGGUUGAAGGGACUCUUUAGUGAACUCAAUGAAGACCUUCAAAUCAAUACAGUAUUUUGUGACAGUCAGAGUGCCAUCUUCCUUACAAAAGAUCAAAUGUUUCAUGAUAGAACAAAACACAUUGAUGUUCGGUAUCAUUUUGUUCGUGAUAUUAUUGCUCGUGGUGAUAUUGUUGUGAGUAAAAUUAGUACUCAUGAAAAUCCUGCAGAUAUGAUGACUAAGUCACUUCCUAUAACCAAGUUUGAGUAUUGCUUAGACUUGGUUGGUGUUCAUUGUUGCAAAUAAACCCUUAAGGGGUUUUAUGGAAGAGGUGGAGAAACUUGUUCGUUGAGAGUUCGCGAUGAAGAACUUGUUCAUUAAGAAUUCGUGUCAAGGUGGAGAUUGUUAGAAUUAAGUGACCCAAAUCCUUAUUUAAAUAAAAUACUGUGGUAAAAUAAAAUAAAAGUAAAAUCUCUAUAGAAUUAUACUUCUUUUAUUUUAUUUUAGAAUAAGGUUUCUAAACCUUAUUAAACUCCAUCUAUUUGAUAUUAUUUGAAUAAGGAGUUUCACUCCUAUUAGAAUAAGGUUUACAAGCCUAUAAAUAGGCAUAGUCUACUCCUCUUGUAAUUAAGUUUUCGACAUAGUGAAUUUUCUUCUCCUCUAUUCGUGGUUUUUUUCCCGAAAGGGUUUCCACGUAAAAUUUGUGUGUUCUUUAUUUUUCUAUUUCUAUUUUUCUAUGCGAUAUAUUGUCAUUACCGACAUUAUAUUUUUCUCAUUACUAAUAAGAUUUCAAGUUUUAGACCAACUAUAUAGAAAUGAUUACCUGUUUAUGAGGACCUUGUGUUUCUAGUACUAACUCAUGGGAUUGAGUGUGCUAUAAGGAGAUGAGUCAACCUAAAAGAAAAUAUUGUUAUUCAUUAUACACAUGUACUAGAAUAUUACAAGUCUAUAACAAUAAUAUAACAUGAAUACAAUUGAUUAGCAUUAUACCUGCUCAACAAGCCUAUGUCUUUCCAUUUCAUGAAAAUUACAUGGUUGAACUACAUUCAAAGACCAUGUUGUGUUUAAGUUUAGUAAAUCAUUGGUGGACAAAGCUAGUCGAGCGUUUCUCGUAUGCAUCGUCCCCUGCAGAGUGGUUGAAAUGGUUUCUCUCUCAAAUCCAACUCUAUUACCUCGAACUCAUAUAGUUACAAACUUUUUCUUCAUGUUUUCAAGUCAUUGAAUAUAUCAAGUGCUAAAGAUUCUGAUUUCUCACUUUCGAUUUUAGUCCAAUAAAAUUCUACUACAUAAACAUCACCAAUGAUGUAGUGAUUUUGUAGACAGAUUGCACCAGUAGCAUGACUACCAAACAACUGUGUAGCAUUAAACAGUGGGUAGUCACUUUUCAUCAGCUUCGUAAUACUUGGUAGGGGUGAGCAUUCGAUCGAAUCGAAUCGAACCGAAUCGAAAAUUUUCGAGUUAAUCGAGUUUUCGAAUCUCAUUUUAUCAUCCUAACUUUAUUUGAAGUUUUCUCGAAUCGAGUCGAGUGAGAUGGAAUUCGAAUCGAAUCGAAUCAAAUAUAUUUGUUCGAGUUAAAUUUUAAAAAAUAAUUUUGGGUCCUUGUAACCAUUGUCACCCAUCGUAAUAAAAUUUGUCCACCUUAAUCAAAUUUUUUAUUAACUUUCAUCACUUCAUAAUUUAUUUAUUAAUUUUUUAUAUACUGAUUAGCUUCUUUGCUUGCUUAGUUGUUUCAAUUAUCUUCAGAUUCUUGUCACUAUGUAUUUUAGAAUUAAAAAAUAUAUUAAAUGUAAAAAUAUGAUUUUUUAAUAAAAAUUAUUUUAAAAAUAAAAUGUGAAAUUGAUACAAAUAUAAAAUUUUAACACGAAUAUUUUAUGGCAUAAUUAAUAAUUCAAUUUUAAUAUAAAUAUUCAAUAUGACUAAACAAUUCAAUAAUAUAAAUAAUAUAAAAUGUGAAAUUUAAUUUAAUAAUAUAAAUAGUAGAUAUAAAUAAAAUUAUUACUAUUUAUGUUUAGUGAAUUUUUUUUUGGAUAUUUUGAUUUUUUAUUUGGGAGUAAAGGGUGAGAAGUAAAAGUUUAGGGGAAAAAUAAAAAGUUUUGGGGAAUAAAAGUUUGAGGGAAAGUAAAUAGGGGGAGUAAAAUUUUGGAGGGAAAACAUUAAAAAAAAAUUGGAGGGGGGAGGGUUUGGGAUAGAUGGGAGGUGGGAUGAGAAGGGAAUAAAAGUUUUUAGGAGAAAAGUGGAAGGGAGUAAAAAUUUUGGGGGAAAAUAAAAGGUUUAAAAUUUUGAGAAAAAAUAAAUGGGAGAGUAAAAUUUUGGUGGGAAAUGGAUUUUGGGUAGAUUGGGGGGUUGGGAGGGGAGGGGAGUAAAAGUUUUGGGGGGAAAGUGGGAAGGAAUAAAAGUUUUGAGGGAAAAGUAAAAAGGUUUGGGAGUUUGGGGUAAAAAUGUAAAAUAUUAUAGUUUGAUAUUCGAAUUAUUCGAAUUAUUCGAGUUAUUCGAAUUCGAAAACUCAACUCGAUUUGAACUCGAAAUUCGAAAAAAAAAAUUCGAGUUGAUUCGAAUAACUCGAUUAACUCGAAUAACUCGAUUCGUUUAACUCGAAAUUCGAUUUUUUUUCGAUUUUUUCGAGUCGAAUCGAGUUCUGCUCAUCCCUAAUACUUGGUGUGAAAUAUAAUAUUAUAAUUUCUUAAAUAUCUCUUAUAAAUUAGCACCACAAUUUAUUUUAUAACUAUUUUGAAAGAAUGUAUUACUAUAACAUCACAAAUUAUCUUCAAAAUAUGUGUUGCAAAUUAAAACAGAUAAAUAUAUUAAACCUUCAAACAACUACAAAAUUUUUGGCAUAUUUUCGGUAGUGUAUGUAAAAUUAUAUUUGAUUGACAAGUUAUAAAACUCGUAGUUAUAAGGUAAUAAAUUUUUAUCCUAUAAAUAUUCUUUUUAAAGAUCUCGUAAUUAUAUUUAAAUGACAAGUUAAGAAAUAUAAAACUGGUAAUAAUUAAUCGGUAAUAAUAUAUUAUAUUAGUUACAAUUUUGAGCCCUUUAUUUAUUGUAAUUAUCAUAUGAUAUUUAAUACUCGUAUUGAUUAAUGAGAACAUUUUUUAAAAAUUAAUUAUAAUGUUAAUAUACAAUUUCAUAUAUUAUCAAUAAAACAACAAUUUCUCUAAUGGGUCUUCCUUUGAAUGUGAAUCAAACUCUUUUGAUAAUGGAUCAAAAAUAGGCCGAAAGAGAGUGUCUGAUAGAGAUAGCCCCUUUAGCAUUCAGCAUGUUUAGGUCAAAGGCUCGUUAGAUAAUAUGAAAAACAAGGUAGUGAGAAGUAUAGAGACAAAGAGUUCUAUUUCAAUUUUUGGGAAAGAAAACGCAAGUUUCAAGUUUGGAGAGAUGAGUAUGGCCGGGGAGAACACGAGACAAAGACCUACACUCAUGGAGAAAUUUCAACCAACAAGACCACCAGAUGUUGAGAUUAGGAGCUUUGAGCAUUCAAUGGUAGAGGUGGUGACGACUAUGAAGGGGCUUAUCAAUGGCAUUAAGUGUGACUCAACUACUAAAACUUUGGCCAAUAGUGACAGCAUGCUUGUGUAGGUAUCCGAUGAUGAGGCAAGCCUUAAUAUUGAGCCUAAUUGCUGAUGUUGAACUACUUGGGUAUGAGAAUCUUCUCUAUUUCCCUUUAAUUAUGAAUAUAAAAUUAUUCUUUUAGAACUAACAAGGAACUGGUCAUCCCCGUUUUCAUAAUUUUGUGAAAGAAUGCAUGAAGGAUUUUUCCACUGAUUUAAUUAGUCUAUUUAAGACUCGAAUUAGUGGGUCCAAGGCUGAUGAUAUUAUUGGCAAACUAGGUUAUCAAAAUUCUUUCAAAGUUGAAGUUGUUGGCUUUGUUGGGGGUAUCUAGAUUAUUUGGAAUGAUAGCAUUGAUGUUGAUUUCCUAGAUUUACAUCCCCAAAUGAUUCAUAUGAGAAUUCGCAGUAAAUAAGGGCCCUUCUAGUUUUUUAUGAUCAACUAUUUAUGCUAUUCCACAUUCAACAAAAAGGUGUUCUCUUCAGCAUUUUCUUAGAUUCAAUUGCAGGUUCAAUUGAUGAACCUUGGAUUACCGCUGGAGAUUUCAACUCAAUUUUGGAUAGUUCUUGCUAGAACAAGCUGUAACCUUUUCAGAUCGUUCUUAUUCAAAUACGGGCUUCAAGAUAUUUGGUUUUAUGGUCCUCGCUUUACAUGGAAUAGAGGCAAUAUUUUCCAACAGCUUGGUAGAGCCAUAUGCAACUCGAAUUGGCACCAAAUUGCUCUGUUUGACAUCUUCAUAGAUUAAAAUCUAAUCAUUGGCCAAUUUUGGUAUCUUUGAGCUCUAACUCUCAUAAUAUAGGUUUUUGUCCUUUUAGAUUUUUAGUAAGUUGGUUGCUACAUUCAGAGUUCAGGGACCUAGUUCGUAAUAACUGGAAGCAUGAUCUUGAGGUUGGUUCAAACUUGGAUCUGUUUAAGAUAGUGGCUCAAGACUUGAAUGAGCUUGUUUAUGGUAAUAUUUUUGCUUGGAAGAGGAAGUUGAUAGAAAAACUUAAUCGCGUACAGAGGAUUUUGAAGCUUCGAUCAUCAUGUCUACAAUCUCGUGAGAUUGAGUUGCGAAAAGAGAUUGAUGAUAUUUUAAAACAUGAGAAGCUUCUCUAGUUUUAGAAAUCACAGAUUGUUUGGCUUACGAAUGGUGAUAGAAAUACUAAGUAUUUUCAUAGUCGCACUUUAGCUAGGAGAAAGAGGAAUAAAAUUGAGGGAUUAAAAAUUUGUGAGUUAGGCUGGUGUUGUGGUACUGGUAUUUUAAAGCAACAUUUUGUGGAUUUUUUUUCCAGAACCUCUACACUAUUGAUAAUCAUGUAACAGGGACCUUCCCUUUUUUGAUAAGUUUCCUCCUUUAUCGGUAUAUGAUCGAGACAUGUUAUUGAUAGUGGCUACUAAUGAAGAAAUCUGUAGAGCUGUGUUUAGUAUGGCGUCUCUCAAAGCACAAAGGAUUGAUGGGUUUCACACAAAAUUUUACAAAUCACAUUGGGAAACUGUUGGCGAUUUUGUUUGUUCUCUUGAUAAAAAGGUACUUGGGGGCAUGUCUGGGAUCCCAAUCUCAACAAAACCUUGCUUGUUUUGAUUCCAAAAGUUUAAGGACUUGAAAACAUUUCUCGAUUUCAUCCAAUUAGCUUGUGUAUUGUUUUGUAUAAGAUCAUCACUAAAACCAUCGUUAAUCGACUUAGGCCGAUGAUGGAGAAUCUUGUUAAAAAAAACCAAGGAAGUUUCAUUGUAGGGAGGAAUAUAUCGGAUAACAUCAUUAUCGCACAAUAGGCUUUUCAUAUCAUGAAGACAGUCAAAUGAAGGAAAUGUUGGAUGGCUUUGAAGGUUAACUUGGAGAAAGCAUAUGAUAGGAUCUGUUGGGAUUUCUUAAAAGAUAUAUUUUGUUGGAUGCAGGUAUCCCAUCUUUUCUAAUUAAUGUAAUCAUGAAUUGUGUGUCUUCCUCUUCUUUACAUAUUCUUUGGAAUGGGGACAUCACUGAUCCUUUUUAUCCCACGUGAGGAAUACAGCAAGGGGCUCUAAUUUCUCCUUAUUUAUUCGUGUUGUGUAUGAAACAUUUUGGCCACCUAAUUGAUAGGGCAGUUGAGCAAAAAUGUUAGAGUCCUCUGUUAUUAUCAAGGCGAGGACCGACCAUUUCACAUCUUUUCUUUGCUAAUGUCUCAAUCUUGUUUUGUAAGGCAGAUAGGGAUCAAGCUGAACAUGUCAAUGUAAUUCUCAAUGCUUUUUGCCUCCUCUCUAGACAGAAGGUUAACAGAAACAAAACUCAAGUAUUCUUUUCUAGCAACACCCCGGAGGAAGUAGCUUGCGCAAUUUGUGGUGAUAUUGGAGUUUCGAGGGUGGAUGAUCUAGGUAAAUACCUUGGUAUGCUUAUUUUUCACAAGAGAGUUACAACAGAAACUUUUGAAUUUAUGGUUGAUAAGGUUCGAAACAAGCUCAAUCGUUGGGAGGUAAGGAAUCUCUCGAUGGUAGGAAAAAUUACUUUGGCUAAAUCAGUUCUCUUAGUUAUAUUUAGUUAUUUUAUGUGUACGACUCGUAUUCCUCUUUCUGUUUGUAAUGAAAUUGAGAUGCUGACUCAAAAUUUCAUUUGGGGAUUUAGUAUAGAGUCAAGAAAACCUGCCUUUCUAAAUUGGACUGAUUAUUGUAAGCCACUUGAUAAAUGGGGUUUUGGCAUCAGAAAUCUUGUUGAUCAAAACAAAUUUUUCUUAUUAAAGUUGGGCUUCAACAUUAUUUCCAAUCCUGAAAAUUUGUGGGUGCUUGUUUUGUGGAAUAAGUAGAAUGUUCAGAUAUUGAUGCUUAUCUCAAUUUCGAGGAGCAAUUGUUCUUUCAUUUGGCGGUCUAUUAUAAAGGUUUGGCCAGAGGUUAUUAGUGACACUUAUUGGUUGAUUGGUUAAUUUUUAGAAUGAUGUAUGGUUUAAACAAGUUGGUCCUCUUAAGUUAUUUUAUGAAGGACCUAGCUAGCCGAAUGAAACUCUCAGAGUGUGUGAUAUGAUUGAUGAUUCUGGAAAUUAGGACUGGUUUCAGGUUAACCUAUUGCUACCUAACCAUAUUCUUCUUUACAUUGUAGCUAUAUUACCUGCUUGUAAUGAUAUAGGGUAUGACCGAAUCACUUGGAAAUGGUCUGCCAACAAUUCCUUUUCUUUUGUUGAGUCUUAUAAGAACCUUUCCUCACUUGGUACUGUUGAUUCAUUUAUGAACUGGAACCUGAUUUGACGGAAUAAGGCCCCACAACGAGUUCGUGUUUUUCUUUGGAUGCUUUGGUAGAACCGGCUCUUGACCAAUGGUGAGUAGGCUCGAAGACACAUGACUAAUGAAGGACAUUGCCCUCGAUGCAACAAUUCCUUUGAGUCAGGUAUUCAUGCAAUCCGAGAUUGUGAAUUUUUAAAAACAGUUUGGCAUGUUGUUGUUACUAACAUUGCUAGAAAUGUUUUCUUCUCAAGAAAUGUGAAUGAAUGGUUAAUUUAAAAUUUGACAAAUCAAGGGAGGUUUGUUGAUAAUGAGGAGGACUGACCGACACAAUUUUUUAUUUUGUGUUGGCUAUUAUGAAAAAGUCGCAACAAUUUUAUCUUUAAUAAUAGCCAUAAUUGCAUUAAAGAUACUGUUUUUAUAGGAUUUACUUGGGCUAGAAGUAUUGUGAACUAAAGUUCAGUUGAGCUUUUUCGACAUUCAAAGGUCAUCCUUGCACAUUGGAUGCCAUCAAAGAUAGGGUGGAUCAAACUCAACAAGAUGGUGUUGUUUCGGCUCUUACUAAUAGUCCUUCGAUUGGAGGAGUUUUCAGAGAUUCUUGCGUGAAUUGGCUGUGUGGUUUUGCUAUAAGGACUGGGAAGGAUACAAUUUUCAAGGCGAAUCAAAAGUUGUUUUAGAAGGACUCACCAUAGCAUGAGAGACUGGUUUUAAGCAACUGGAGUUGGAACGUAAUAAUGCUUUGUUAGUUGAAACACUAAUAGCUAGAGAUGCUGCAAAAUGUUUACGCUUGAUCCAUCAACUCUUACGCCGCAACCGGGAAGUUCGGAUUCAACAUAUUCCCAGGGACCACAACAAAGUUGCCGAUCAUAUGGCUAAAAUUGCCAGCUUUAAUUACAACAACUUGUAGUUGUUUGAAGAACCUCCGUUCCUGGUCCAAGAACUACUUAAUGACCAUCUUGCUACUAUGUCCAAUAUCGCCUGUUAGUGUUUUCUUUACCUUAUAGCCACCAUUUUACUGUAUUUUUUCUAUCGAAAAAAUAAAAUUAAUGUAAUUAUCAUUAUCAAUUGAUAUAUUAUUUCAUGAAUAAAAUAAAUAUAAUUAUAAAUUUAAAAUUAAUAUAUUUAAAAAGUUAACCUAAUUAUAAAUCAUUUAAAACUUAAUUAUAAAAACUACACUCACUUUAAAUAUAAUUAAAAAAUUAUAUACUGUGCAGAACUCAACCUUUUUAUAUAAACUGUGCAGAACUUCUCGUAGAUACGAGAUAAUUUCCAAUCUAUAAUAAGAUGAGAUAAGAUUUGACUAAAGGUGCUCAUGGGCCGGGUUGGGCCCAAAAAAAUUUUGGCCCACGUUCUAGGCCCGGGCUCGGCCCAAAAUAUAGGUCUGAAAUUUUGUCCAGACCCGGCCCGGACAAAAAUUUCUAAGCUUGAGCUCGGCCAGGCUCAUUUUUUUUUAAUACACACCAAAAGUUUAUUUUAAAAAUAAAAAAAAUAAAAAAAUGGUAUUUUAAAAAUAUUUUAAAAUUAAAAAAAUAAAAAAUAAAUAUUUAUUAUAUAUUCGGGCUGGGCCAUGCUCGGGCCAAAAAAGUGGUGCCCGAAGCUCGGCCCGUUUUCUAAACGGGUCUUGUUUUUUGUCCAAACUUAUAUUUUAGAUUUAUAUUUUCAUCCGAACCCUCUCAUAUUUCGGGCGAGCUGUCGGGCCGGGCCGGGCCGCACGGCGCAUGAGCACCUCUAGAUUUGACUCGGCUAUUGAAUUUUCACCCAUUUUCUCUCAGUAUUCGUCUUAACUUUUCAUUCCAAAAGCUCUUACAUUUCUACUUCGAUUUGCCUUUUUUCUGGUCCCCUAAUUUCUGCUUUUGGGUUUUCUGCUCUCUACCUUUUUUUUUUAUCUUUUUCUCCGUAACUUUUAAUGGGUAGGUAUUCGAAUUGGCCUUCUUUGAAGGAGAAUCUUGAAUUUUGCUGCAAAAACAAUCAAAAACUGCUAACUGCUUAGUAUUUGACUCGAAGUUGUUUUCUUUAUGCUUUUUCAUAUAUAUAUUUUUAAUCUGGCGUUGCUUCGAGGCUGGCUUAAUAUGAUUAAUCGUAUAAAGGGCUUGUCUGUGGCUGUAAUUUCUAUUUGAAUCUGAUUCUAGGAGUUUUUAGUCCUCCAUUCUUACCAAGGGUUUUGUUUGACUUCAUCUUUGGUACUUAGGUUCACGGCCAAAAAUAUGAAUAUUUGGCUCUUAGGAUGACCACCUUACAUUCAACUUUAAUGAAUAAGCUUUAUGAUGUAUUUUUACCAUUCAUCCUCUACUUAGUCGAAGUUCUAAAAUUUUGGAAGUUUUGAUAGGAUUUUAAAUCACUUGCUGAUGUGAUAGUGGAUUAACAGUUGUAUUACUAUGUUUUAGAUUUAACAGGUGAGAUGCAAGGGAAAAAUGGAAAACCCAAGCUUCUUGAUCAAGCCUUUUCUGUCUUUUUUGUGCAGCUUCCUAACAAACUUCAAAACCAUCUUAAGGUUAGUCAUUUCUCCUACGUAGGGGGGAAUUCGUUUAAUGGACUAUUCUUUUUAAUUAUCUCUGAAUUUGAAUGAAAAUCCCUUCUUCUUUUUUUUUGCCUCAGUCACAGUUCAAGGGAUUAGCAAAAGAUAAUGAUGGAUUUGAAUCUGCGAACUCUUUUCUCGAGAAGGAGAAGGGUUCAUUUGCUGGAUUGAGGAUUGAUCUGGAGAAACAAUUGCAAGCUUGGAGAGAAAAUCCUUCAUGGGUCAAUCAACCUCCAGAAAUAAAGGUAAAGAGUUAUUGGGAACUUUCAUGGUUUCCUUCUCAACAGCUAUGUGACCCGAACUCUUCAGUUUUCAUGAAGUACCCAUACUAGCAUUUGUAUCCGACACAUAUUUAAACAAGGAUACAAGUAUCUGACACUCACUCUCGAGUGCCUGCUAGUAAAAGCUUUUAACUCUAGGCCAGUCAAAAGCAUGAACUUUCCUAGUGCUAUUUCACUCAUAUAGCCAAAGUUGUAGAAAACCCUUGGCUUCUAAUUUUAAAAUAUAGUUUGCACUACAUUGCUGUUAUCUACAUUCUUGGAUAUUUUAUUCUAAGGGCCCAUCAAUUUGCAAAGAAUUAGGCUAAUGUUAUUCUUGGCAGGUUAGUGUGCCAAAAGGUUCUCUUUGCAACCUUAAGGCGAAACUUGAUGUUGGGUUGCCCCCAGAUGCAGUGUAUGAUAUUUUAACUGAUCCUGAUAGUAAGAGAAUUUUCAAGAACAUUAAGGUAAGAGUGGUAUAUUUUGACCCAUAAUAGUAGAUUGAAGUUUUCUAUUUAGGACACCAUUACCAAUUUGAUGCAAUGGCAUUCCCAGCUUCAAUGCUUCAAGCAGUCUCAGGAAAUUCAUAUAUUUAUUUCAUGAACUGGUAUUCUGCUUCAGGAAGUGAUAUCUAGAAAGGUUUUAGUUGAUGAAGGUCAAAGACAGGUGGUUGAGGUGGAGCAAGCUGCUUUGUGGAGAUUCCUUUGGUGGUCAGGUACCAUCUCAGUUCGUGUUCUAGUGGAUCAAAACCGAGAAGAUCACUCGGUAAGGAUUUUCUUCUCAGUUUCAAUUUUAAAAAUCCAUGACUGAAUCUUUUCUGUAAGUAGGACUUUGGCGGUCUAUUUUGGUUGCUUUUUUUCUUUUUUGAAGUUCAAAUAUAGGGUUCAUCUAUUUUGAAUCUCCACUUAGCUUGCCAUUUAAUUGAUUCUAGCUCUUUAUUUCUCUUUAAGUGCCCGUAUCUGACACAUGGGUAUGGGGAAAUCAGAUCCUAAUAUCCUCCAGAAACAUGAAAAAGCUUAGAAAUCAUAUCAUAUCUGUAUCCUACUUUUGAACAAAAGAUACAAGUUGUUUGUAAAAAGAUUAUGCAUGGGUUACUUGCAGUUACUCUUGAUUCUAAUGAUGACUAGUAAACAGAUGAAGUUCGAACAAGUAAACACAGGAUUCAUGAAGAAGUUUGAAGGUCAGUGGAGAAUAGAACCUGUUUUUGUGGAUGAGGAAACCUGUUUUCCUUUCAAACCUAAAACAUUGGCAGAGUAUUGUUCAUGUAGUGGGGGUAAAGGAAGGAUUGGGUCAAAGGUGAGCUUGGACCAACUGGUUCAACCAGCCAUUGUCCCUCCCCCACCCAUUUCUUGGUAUUUAAGGGGAAUUACUGCCAAGACCACUGAGAUGUUGAUACAUGAUCUAGUUGCUGAAGCUGACAGACUCACAGGUGGCCGUCAAUCUGACUCUAAAACUUCGAGCAAGGAGUUUAGAUUAUCUAAGGAACUAAACGAAUAUGACCCAGUUAAGCAAAUAUUCAACAUUAAACAAAGAUGGAGCUUACAUAGGAGAAAUGCAAAGCAGCAUCGUAAGAAGUUGUUGAGUGUAUAAUCAUCUAAUUUUUUAUUACUUUAAUUUCAUUUGAAAUCUGUUGUUUCAAUGUUUAUAUAUGCUAAGUAUGACUCCUAUUUCAAUCAAAUUUGAUAAAUAAUCUUCUAGUUAAACUCUGUUUAUUUGUUUCAAUCAAACUUUGAUUAGUUUAGAUUAUUUUAUUAUUAUUUGACUUAUGAAUUUAGUUUAUAAAUAGACUCUUUUGCAACAUUAGAAACCGAUACCCAUUAGAGAUUAAAACUCAUAACACAUUUAGAGAAUUUUGUAUUUAUGUUUUAAGAGUUCUUUAUUUUCGGGUUUUCGGGGUUUAAUUUUUAUCAUCUUUUGUACUUUUCGUUCUUUUGUCAUUAUAGUAAAUUUAUAUUUGUCCGUAGUUUUUUAUCCUUUUUGGAAGGAUUUUUUCAUGUUAAAUUUGUGUGUUCAAUUUUUCAAUUUUUUUGUUAUUUUUACAUGUUCAUUACUUAAUCGGGUCGAUUCUUAACAAGUGGUAUAGAGUUAGUUUAAUUUUUGUAUAUCAACCCAUUCAGAGAUGGCAGCAAUAAGGUUUGAAAUUGAGAAGUUCGAUGGUGUCACAAAUUUCAAUUUAUGGCAAGUUUGAAUGAUGGCAAUUCUAGUUCAAACUGGCCUGAGAAAAGUUGUUAUUGGGAAAAAAAUCUGAGAAUCUAAAUCAAACAGAAUGGGAAGGUCUUGAUGAAAAGACAUUGUCUGAAAUUCAGUUGUGCUUUGCAAAAAUCGUAUUGCAAGAGGUAUUGAUGGAGAAUACCUCAUUCGCCUUGUGGAAAACGUUAGAAACUCUUUAUGCGACUAAGUCUCUAGCUAACCGUUUAGUAUUGAAACAACGUUUAUUUAUGAUUCACAUGAAUGAAAGUGAGCUUCUUAGAGAUCACAUCAGUCAAUUCAUUAUUAUUUUAAAUGAUUUAAAGAAUGUUGAGGUUUAAAUUGACGAUGAAGAUCAGACUAUACUAUUAUUAUGCUUAUUACCCCUUUUAUACAAGUUUUUCAGAGAGACCUUAAUUUAUGGCAAAGACACUCUCGUUUGAAGAUAUGAAGGGUCAUUUGUUGAGUAGGACAAACUCGACGAUGAGUUUGGUUCGGAUAGUAAGGCGGAUAGACAAGCUUCCGUUUUGGUAAUAUCAAAGAAGCGAGACAAAAUAUGUUGCUAUUGUAAAAAGUUAGAUCACGUCAAAGCAGAUUAUUAUAAACUGCGGAAUAAAAGAGCUGUUGAGAGUAACGAGGAAGAUGUAGCUGGUGUUAAUUUGGCCAAUGAAAGCGGUGAUGAUUUCUUAUUAGUGCCAACAAGUGAUAACUCCAAGCUUACAUCCGAGUGGAUCCUAGAUUCGCGAUGUUCUUUCCACAUGUGUUCCAAUAGAAAAUGGUUCUCCACACACAAUUCAGUUGAAGGUGGAGUUGUGCACAUAGGAAACGAUUCAUCCAAUAAAGUAAUUAGUAUUGGUACUGUUAAAAUUAGGAUACACGAUGGGACGAUUAGGACACUCUUAGAUGUCAGGUAUGUACUUGAUUUAUGAAAGAAUCUCAUCUUUUUAAGUAUUUUAGACUUGAAAGGAUGUAAAACCAACAUCGAGUCGAGUGGCAUUAAAGAGUCGAGUGGAUCUCUCAUUUUGUUAAAAGGUAAAAGAACAGAUAAUCUUUAUAUUUUGGAAGGUUCUACAGUGACCGGUGAAAUCGAAUGACCCUCGUUCGUUACAGAGUCUAAGUCAACUCGUUUGGAGCGGAGGCAACUUAGUCAUAGAAAGGAAAAAUGUAUGACCGUUUCGUUGAAGAGAGGUUUACUUUUGGAUGCAGGUUUUGAAAAGUUAGGACACUGUGUUUGUGAAAAUUAAACCCAUGUUAGUUUUGAUUUGGCAGUGUACAAGUUGAAGGCUAGAAGUCUUCCAGUUUCUAAGCAUAGAUUCGACUUUGUUAAUUCCUUACAUCGUUCAAGAUAAACUCGUGGUGGGCUUUAGCAAAGAUGGUGUUGUGGAAAUAUGAGUCAAAGUGGAGACUUGUUAAGUAUGACUCCUAUUUUAGUUAAAUUUAAAAAAUAAUCUUUUAGUUAAACCUUGUUUAUUUGUUUCAAUUAAACUCUGAUUAGUUUAGAUUAUUUUAUUAUUAUUUGACCUAUGAAUUUAGUUUAUAAAUAGUCUCUUUUACAACAUUAAAAAUCGACACCUAUUGAAGAUUAGAGCUUAUAACACAUUUAGAGAAUUUAAUGUUUACGUUUUUUAGGGUUCUCCGUUUUUUUGCCACUAUAGUAAAUUUAUCUUUACCUGUGGUUUUUUAUUCUCUUUGGAGGGGUUUUUCCACGUUAAAUUUGUGUGUUUAAUUUUUCAAUUUCUUUCGCUAUUUUUACUUAUUAAUUGCUUAAUCGGGUCGAUCUCCAACAAUAUAUAUAUAUAUAUAUAUAUAUAUGGAAAAAAAAAACCCUCAAACUUUGUUUUACUUAUUCUACAGUUCCCAUCUUUUCACUACAGCAUGACACAAGCCAACGACAAGUAAAAUGAAGAACAAUACCAAAAAUUUUAAAUUUUAAUAUUCAAAAGGCAUCUAUUUUACAGGAAAAGAAUUUUUAUUAUCUUGAUCCUUAUUGCGGUUGAUACUUUUAUUAAAUUCAAAUUUGAAAUAUAGAUAAUUCUUCUGCUGUUUAUGACUAGAUUUUGGUAUGCUUAGGGUUUAAAAGCAUCUAUGGAAGAUUUAUUGAAACAAAAAGAAAGAAUUGAUAAAUAGAAAUUAAGUGAUAAGAGUUAAAAAGGAAAUUUAAAUUAUAAUUUCAAGAUUAUUUCAAGGAAAGAAGAUAUAUAGAUCCCCUUUUAAUCAAAAUAAUGCUUAAGCUUCAGCUAUAGAUUUAAUCCAAAUGGUUCGGAUCUCAAACUUGUGAAAGAUAUAUAGAUCCCUUUUUUCCUCCCUUUCUUCUCACUUCCCAAUCCAAAAUUAGUAUUUUGCAAAACUAAUGCAACAGAAGAUUCCCAAAUCCCGGGUUUCAUAGAAAUGCAAUUCAUGCAAUUGCAAAUAAGUUUUGGUUACAGAAAGAGUUAUACAUCCAAUCAAACCAAUUUUUAGUUUGCAAUAUAUAACCACAAGGUCCAAACUCCAAACUAAUAUGGUCAUCUCCAAAAAUAGAAACGCAUAACAACAAUCCAGCUGUCACAGUCGAAAAAUGAGGGCAUAAUAAUAAUUGAAGAAAAUAAGACUAGAUAAUGUUCACCCCUGCAUCCAGAAUUUUUGAUACUGCAAAUACCACUUCUUAAUGGCUUCAGGCCUGCAAAAUUGUAUGUGGACAUAAGAAAACAAUAAAAGAGCACUUUCGACUAUUUGAUAGUGUGUAAAAUAUUAUAUUUCACUGCCGAAUCUUGUUUCAACCUAUUGUAAGAGAAAAAGAAACAUGGAGUGUAGAAGACAAAAUCAAACGGUUUGAUUAUGAAGUUAUACUCCUUGAAGGAUGUAAAUCAAGUACAAUUAUCCAUAAAGAUAAGUUUUGAAAGUAUAUCUUCUUACCUUGUUAGCUAUGUUGUUUGAAAGCCAAUCCAGACCCUCAUAGAGCCCUUCACCAGAUGUUGCACAGGUGCUCUGGAUGUACCUGAAAAGACCAGUAAGAUACAUUAGUGGCAAUGAAUAAGAAGCUAGCAAACUAAAGCAUGAAAACACAAUGCAAAAGCAUACCAGUGACGCUGUCGAAGGGAAUUAAGACCAAGCUUAUCAGUUAUUUCAGCAGCAUUCAUUGCGUUUGGAAGAUCCUGCUUGUUUGCAAAUACAAGCAAUACUGCAUCUCGCAGCUCAUCCUGAAAAUGAGUUAUAGUUAACCAUGAAAACCCAGCAAAAUUAAGCCAACAUCAGAAGUUUCAACUCAUGCUCCUAAGUUUGCCCUCAAUAUUCUAGUAACUCUAUUUUCAUUGAUAUUUUUCGUAUCCUCAUUGGGAAUGAGACUGUAUCAAAAUCAUUACAUGAAACUACCUUUGAUGAAUAAAUAUCUGGAACAAAACCAGUAGCAUAGAUUAUGCACACAAUUUUUAUUGAAAACAACCAUUAGCUUCUUAAAAUUGUAGUUCCAUACAUGUCUUUCAACACAUUUACUCAAUAGCACUUGUGCAAUGGUCUUUACAAUUGACAGCUCAAGUGCCACAGAAGAAUCAAGUCAGUUACGAUAGGAAUAUCUUGAAACAAUUGCUAAUGGAUCAAACUUAAGAAAAAAGACCCCCCUUUGACUACUAGUGUAAGACAGUGGACAUCUGACCACCAUAGAGGAGCCUUGACCGUUGAGCACUAGGUUACCCUUUUGCUUGUUUAUAGCUAUUAAAUCUAAUGUUAUACGAAGGCAGAAACAAUAGAAUCCGAAGCCACUUAACAGCAAUACAAUUCAAGCAUAAACAGUAACCGGGGAAACAAAGGUGGUUCCACUUAAAAUUUAACUUGCAUACCUCAUUCAACAUUCUAUGCAAUUCAUCCCUAGCCUCAACAACACGGUCUCUGUCGUUGCUGUCAACCACGAAGAUGAGACCCUGUGUAUUCUGGAAGUAAUGCCUCCACAACGGACGAAUCUGCAAGAUUAAGAAUGAAAAACUGGGGCAUUAUUGACUAACCAUUACUUAGAUACCACAACAUGUAAAGAUCCCCUAACUAUCACUGCAUCAAAAAUUAAAUAACAUUUGAACUAUUGCUGAAAUAAUAGGGAAACAUAAAAGGAGAAAACUCGUACCUUGUCCUGACCACCAACAUCCCACACAGUGAAACUGAUGUUCUUAUAUUCCACAGUCUCCACAUUAAAUCCUGCAAAGGAAAACCAUGACUAGUUAAAAAGAUAAAGCUUGAGAUGGAUUAAUAAAAUCACAAGCCUGAAGAAAUUCAAAGUACUAUACAAAUCACAAUAUGAAAUAUUAGCACUAUGGUCCUCUAACUAGAGGUCACAUGCUUGAAAGCUAAUUCCUAAUUUUGGAUCUAAAAAUCAUAGGUGUAAAUCGGUUGCAUUUGAUUUAUACAUGUUUCAAUAUCAAGGCUCUAAACGUCUAACAUCUCAAUUCUCAAAUAUACAAAAACAAUAAUGAUAGCAUUGACAAAGGAAAAAAAAGUUUCUACCAAAUGAUACAAACCCUGAAUGAAAAUAUAUAAUCUAAGAUGCAAUUAAAGUUCGAAGGACCAAGAAAGUUAGAUAUGCUCACCGAUGGUUGGAAUGGUGGUAACAAUUUCUCCAAGCUUGAGCUUGUACAAGAUGGUAGUCUUACCGGCUGCAUCGAGACCCACCAUCAAAAUCCGCAUCUCCUUCUUCGCAAAAAGCCGGCUAAAAAGCUUCGUGAAUGUCAGCCCCAUUUCUCUUCCCUAAUUGCUGAUCCCUAAAUAUUACAAUACUUUAAAUAUAUUAUUUCAAAAAAAAAAAAAAAACUCAAGCGUACCAUUUUCCCAAUCAAUAAUCAGAUUUCGGUAAACCAAAUAGAUCUGAAGGUAGAGGUGCGAAGAAUCAAUACCAUUAUACCAUUUCCACGGUUACCAUCGAGAAUUCAGUAUAUAUACACACAUAAAUGGAGAAAAUGAAAAACAAUAAAUCUAGAAUACUUCAUCGCCUAGAUUUUCAGAGAAGAGAGGAAAGCAACUAGAUUUCUCAAAAUUCGAUCGACUGACAAGACAUGAGGAAAGCAAGCAUUCAUGCAACGAAUCGUUCAUAACCAACAAAGUUUAAAGUAAAAUGAAAGGAUUUCAAAGCCUCACAUCCAAACUAAACCAAAGAGAGCGCAUUGAAUUGGUUUCUUUACAUUUAUAACUUGCGAGAUCGAAAGGAAAAAUCGAAACAGAGAGAUCGAAAGGAAAAAUCGAAACAGAGAUUAGAAUGGUUAUAUACCUUUGGAGAAAAUCGCAGAGAGAUUUUGAAUUUGAUUUUGAAGCAAAUGGAAGAAAGAGAGGCAGAGAGAGGUUGAGACCAAAGCAAAUUAAUUUAUUUAUUUAUGAAGGAAAAGGCGGGCUGCACCCGCACCAGAUACUUUUCCCCAUCAUUUCACAUAAAAUAACAAAAUUGCCCCCGCGUCAAAUUUCGCGUACCAAUUGCAUUCAGUUAUGGACACCGCCACUGUUGCUUACACUAUCCGAGUGGCCCAGCUUUCCCACAAGAUAUUUUUUAUUUAGGUUUAAUUGUGUUUUCAGCGCUACAUUUUUUUUAUAUUUAAAAUUUAAUCUUUAUACUUUUGAUUCCUAGAAUUUAAUAUUUCCACUCUUUUGAUUUAGUAAUUAAAUUCCAAUUGACAAUAUUUUAAAAGAAAUCUAUUAAAUUAGAUUUUAUGACACUUCUUUUAGAAAUUGCUCAAUGGUCAAUUUAAAUGUGAUGACCAGAUUUUAGCCAGUGUCAAAAAAUGUGGUUUCAGAAUCUAAUUUUACAAACCAAGCCCAUGAAAUUAUGAAUAGAAGGAUUUACUCAUUUAGAAUGAAAGGCAUUUGUGGACAGUCAAGUAAUUAAAUCGAGAAAAUCAUCAAUUAUAAUAUAGGGACUAAAUUGAAAAGUGUAAUCGCUAUUAAAUUUUAAUUUAGAAAAUACUUGAGGACUCAAUUAAAAAUUGUGAAAAGGAUCUAAUGGUUAUUUAACCAUUAAUGUUUCAUAAGUUAGUGGAUGAGAUCAAUCCUUUCCAUCCAUUUUCCUUAUGUUAAAUAAUGAUCAUGACCAUUUAUUUAGUUAAUUAAGUAAGCUUUGUUCCUUAAUUAAGUUUAAUCAUUCUAUUAUCUAAGAGUAUAUGACAAGUGAGUGGGGAGAGAGAAGAGAACAUUCAUUCUUCUCUCCCAAAUUGUAGUCCAAAGCUUGAAAGAAAGAACAAAAUUUCCCUUUUACUUCCUUUUGCAUUUCGAUCCAAAAUUGAAUAAGGUUAUUUGAGCUUAAUCUAUCAUACCCAAGUUUUAGAUUAUCAAAUUUCUAAGUAUAUGCUAAGUUACCAUUAGUAGGUUUUUGUGGAAUCAAGCUUGAUAAUGUUAAGAAUUGUUGAUUAAUAAACUUAGGUUAUGUUAGGACUAAGUUUAAAAGUGAAAAGCGUAGGAUUUGAUUAGAAAUUGUACUAAGCUAUAUAGUUCAUAUAUGAUAUUCAAGACUAAAUUGGAAAGUUGUUAAGAAAUUAAGCUAUAGAUUAAAAAUAAAAGGUCCCUAAUGAAAGAAUAUGAAAUUGGAUUUUGAUUCAAUACUAAAUUUCGAGAAAUAAGAUCAUUUCAGAUAUUAGGUCUUAUAGGGACUAAAAUGAAUAAAAUACAAACUAUGUUAAAUUAUUUUGUUUUCAUGUGUUUGUGUGAAACUAAUAUUAUUUCCAUUAUUGAAUUUAUCGUACGUAAUUAAAGACCACAUUGGGCAUCUUGAGAUAAAGGAAAGGCGAAGGCCAUAGACGAGUAACCUAUUCUGGUUUGUGCUUUCAUGAAUUUGAAUUCAAUUUAUAGCCUAUUAAGUACUAAUUUGACUAAGAUAAAGAUUGUUACUUGUCUCACGAUUGGUAAGAAUUUUAUGCCAUGGUGAAAUGUUGCAAUGUGAUGAAAGUAUAUGUGUUUGUAUGCAUAUUGUGUUUUGAAGCAAAAAUAUGAGUAUGAAAUAAAUGACAUGUGAAAUUUGAUGUAAAAUGAAAUCGUAUAUAAAAGCAUGGCAUUGGUAUGUAAUUGAUAAUGAAAAUAUUAUGUAAUGAAAGAAUGAUGUGUGAACCUGUAUGUUUGAAACUUUGAAUACCCUAUUAACAAUCUCGGAUAGAGUCUGGUAUAGUUGGCAUGCUAUAAGUUAGUGUAUGUGAUUUUACUUUGGUUUAUUUCGAUGAGGCGUAGAGUGCAUAUCAUACUUCAGGUGUACUGAUGAGGUGUUAGGCACAUUUAUAUAUAUUUACUUUAGUUUAUACUGAUGAGGCGCGGAGCACAUAUUAUACUUUGGACAUACCGAUGAGGCAUUGAGUGUUGGAUAUAUUGGUGUGAUAGGUGGAUAAUCCAUGUAUACGCCUUGAGUCUGUGUUCGGUUAAUAUGGAUUAUGAAACUUGUACUUUGGUUAUUAACAUUGGAUAUUGAAUUGUGUAAUUGUAUAUUAAUGUUAGAGCAAUAAAAUAUGGCAUGCAAAAGACCAUGUAAUCCAGUUAAUACAAGCCUUAAGGGUCGAUACGGUUAUAAAACAAAUCAGUAAGUUCGAGAAUGUAAUGAGAAAGUGAAAUGGUUCUUGUGAUAUGCUAUAAUGUGGAUAUAAUUGAGAUAUAAUGAUAGAUGAAUUAAAUAUUGAUAUAUGAUAUCGUAAUAAGCAUAAUGUAUUGCUUAAUUCUCGACUAAGCUUAUAAUUGAUUAUUAUUUUAAAUCAUGUUAGCACUACUAAGCCCUAUUGCUUAGCGCACAGUUUUGUUUAUUUUCGUGCAUAGGUAACAUUAGAUCUCGAAGUCUCAAGGUCUUUGACAACAUCUGGGACUCAAUUCUCAACUUAACAAAGUUUGUAUAGUUUUUAAUAUACCUGUAGCAAAUGGCAUGUACCUAGUGUAUUGUGUUGGUCCUUAGGCUCAUCUUAUUGUUUUGGUACUUAUUGUAGGAAGUUUUUGCAUUUUGAAUGUGAUCAUAUAUGUUAGGUGGUAUGUAUAUGUAUUAAUCUAGUGAUAAAAUGAUAUGAUUGCUCAUUUUGGUUAUGUUAUGAUUGUAAUUGAGAUAUAUUGCUUGCAUGCCAAGUAAAAGAGUAUGAAGCAUGUAUCUUGUAUGAAUAUGUAAAUACUUGUAAUCACGUGCUUAUAGAUGUUUAGAUAUGCCAAUGAUAGUAUUUAGAGAUUAUGUUUAAUGCUCAUAACGUGAUGAGAUGGGUUUUUGGGUCACUUUAGACCAAAUGGAACUGAUGCUUGGUAAGCUUAUCAAAAAUGAUGCAAUAUUGAGAAAAUCGUCUCCAUCAUCACAACAUUCCCCUAUUGAAGUCGUGACAUCAAGCUAUUGCCUCCAUGGUUAUGGCAUUCCUCUGCUGAAGUUGUGACAUCAAGUUACUGCUUCUAUGGUUACGACAUUCCCUUAGUAAAGUCGUGACACCAAGAUUUGAUUGUCUUCAAUGUCACGACAUACAUUACUUAGUGUCACAACAAGACCACUAUUUUAUCUAUUUUGCAUUUUGGUCCCUCAUUUGUUACCGGUGAUUCAUGGGAACUUUCGUAAGCUUAGAACCUGAAAUUGAAUUAAUAAUGCUUUUAUAAGUUUUAAAACUCAUUUAAUUCAUUAAGUGCAUGAUUAAACUUAUUUUUUUCAUAUAAUUCUUCUUUUCAAUGUUGAAUUAAGUUCAUAGUUGCUUCGACAACUAAUAUGAUGUCUCACAUCUUAAAUCCAAUGAUCGAGUUGGGUGUGGGGUGUUACAUUAAAGUUGUGUGGAAGCAAUGAAAGCAAAAACAAAGUAUCAACUUUUAGUUUGCUUCUCUAAAACAAUAUUGAAUAACCUUGCAACCUAGAUAAACUUGAAAACUUGAAAACUUGAAAACUUUAUAACUUUAUAACUUCUUAUUCAACAUAUUUUUCUUAUUUGACUUUUCACAAGUGUAAUAUUGAUAACUUGAACACAAUUUGUUUAUUUUAAAAAAGUCAUAUAAUCCAAUUUAGUGAAAGCCUUUUAAUAGUGCUAUCAAUUGGACUUCAAUUAUCAAAUCAAAAGAAUAAAAAGACUAAAAUUUUAAGAUUAAAAGUAGAAAAACUUAAUUUUAAAUGUAAUAAAAAUUAUAAUGAUUGAAAGCAUUGAUAGACUUUUUAUUUUUCUAUUUAUUAUUAAGUUUAUUACUAACUAGAUUAUGUUGCACACAACAUGGGUGAAAGAAAGUAUUUUAUGCAAAAUAUAUAUUUUUUAUUUUAAAAUUUAUUCAACAAUGAUUAUAGAUGGAGUGGUAAAGAACUUGUAUAUAGAUUUUAUUAAACACGUGUUCAAUUCUUGGAUAUGUUGUUUUUAGUUGUUUUAUUUAAAGAUUAUAUAAAAUUAUGAAAAACAAAAGCAUCAUAAUAGUAUUAGUUAGGGUAAACGAAACCAUUAUGUGUAGUUACAUUUUGGUCACUAAACUAUUCGAAAAUUUUCAUUUAAGUCACUGAACUAUUCAAAAGUUUUUACUUAAGUCCUUGGGCUGUUAAGUUUUUUUUUAAAAGUUUUGCCAAUGAGCUCCAAGUGACAAUUUGACGAUUGGUACGAUGGAUCAGUGCCGAUCGAUGAGUAGAAGAAAUUACCUUAGAUCCAAGUUGAUCUAACGGUCAGUGUUGGAGAUUAGAAAGAAAAAGUUGUUUGAAUUUUGGUUCCUAGAUUCAUGAUGUCUAAAGCUGUUUUAUGAAAAAAAACUGAACUGUAGAAGAGAAGGGAAAAGAGAGCUCCCAAUUGGUGCAAGUAGUGCGAACAAUGAAAGCCAUAUAACAUUAGUUUAACAACCCAGUGACUUAAACAAAAACUUUUGAAUAGUUCAAUGACCAAAUUGUAACUUUUUUAAUUAAGUGACCAAAACAAAAACCUACCCAUAGUUUAGUACUAAUGGUGUAGUUUACCUUAUUAGUUAUCAUUAAAAAGAAAAUGUAUCUUAGUUUUUUCUCAACUAAGACUAUAACAUUCCAAAAUUCCCAAUCUGACAUGAGGCACUAUUUCGAUAGUAGAUAUAGUGAACUUUCGAGAAAUUUUGGAAAAUGAACUAGUUAAAGGAAUUUUUAUGAAAAUAAAGUGAUUUCAGAUAUAUGAAUUUAUAAAAAGAAUUUUAGAAGUGAAAAUGUGAGGAAAGGACCAAAUCAAAAAUUUUGAAAAGUUUGAGGAAUAAAGUGUAAAUUUGACCAAAAUGGGAAAAAUGAGUUGUUAGUGAUGAAUUGGCAUAAGUAUAAGUGGGAAUAUGUAUUUUUGUGAUGAAAACCACUUUUGGGACUAAAUUGAAAAGAUUGAAAAGUAUAAGAAUUAAAUUGUAAAUUUUUUAUUUCCAACCGAAAUGAGGGUAAAAGCAUAAUUAUUUUCAUUAAAGGAUUCUUAUUAAAUAUUAUAUGUGAAGUAUGAGAUUUGGAAUUGGCAAUUUCCUAUUAUUGAGAAGAAAUCAUACAAAAAGUAAAAAAAGGACAAGAAUAAUUUUUCCUUAAAAAGGGUGAUUUGGUCAUUUAUCAAAUAAUUUAUGAUUGAAACGUUACUUUGAUGAUAUAUUUCAUAAUAAAAAAUUUUAUGGACCAUUUGCAUCUUGAUAUAAGGAAAGUAGGCUUCAAUUGGUGAUUUGGACUUGAAAUUUGGUAUGUGGAUUUGGGGGCCCUUUGUGUGAUUUUUAAAGGAAAGAAAGAAGAGAAAUUAGCUCCCAUCAGCCUCCCUCAAGCUACUACUGACCAACCCCUUUCUCCAUGGGGUUCUCACCAUUGUUCUUCAUUUUUCAUGCUUUUUCUUUGAGAUUUUUCAAGAAUCACAAUACAUAACCUUGAGUUUUAUUGAAAUCACUUAGAAGUCAACCUUCUUGCAUGGAUUUCACCAUCAUUUCCAUCAUUUAAGCCUAUGGGUUAUUUUAUUUUAGUGAGAGAAGUUGAAACUUGAGAGAGAAAGCUUUAAAAAGUAAUCGGUGGUGACUUCCUCUUCUCCUAGCUUAUUAAUUGAAGUUAUUUGCUUUGAUAAAGCUUAGAAAACUCAUAUGUUAAUUUUGGAUUAUAUUUUUGUAUUUGGUAAAUGGGGAAAUGAUGAGAAAUGGAUUUUUUGAGCUUAGUUGGGGAUGGGUUCAAGUUCAUGGAAGCAUAAUUUUGUGUUUUAGAGCAUCUAAGAGAUAAGUACCCUUGAAUACUCCUACUUUUUCCUAUGCUAAAAUGUUUAAAGAAACAAUAGAAAUUAUGUGAUAAUUAUGAAAUUCAUAUUGAGAUAAGUAUGUAUAAAAAUUCAUGGCUUAAUUAUGUGAGACCAAGUAAAUAAUAUGUUACGGUAAGAUUACUUAAUUAUGAGAUAUCAUGUUAACUAACAUUGUUCCAAGAAAAUUUUGAUGGCCAUAAGAAGAUUACUAAAUAAAUUGGAUAUUUGAGAAAUUUAUGAAAUAUGACAUUAAUGUUAAAUGGUAUUAAUAUGCUAAGAUUUGGUGUUUUUGGUUAAAUAACGAACAUAGAUACAAUAGAAACAAAAUUAUGAAGUCAUUGAUUAAAUGACCAUAUUGGUGAAGCAUAGGAACAUGUGAAUCAGAAAACGUGCAAAAUUUAUGUGACCAUGUGCAUGAUUGUUAAUUGGGUGCCCUUGGCACCGAAAACGUGUACAUGUGUGCUAAAUGUUAAGUUACUUGGCAAAGGUUCGGAUAUGCUUUAGUUUAUUUAAUAAAUGUGCUACUGAUCGCAACGCUAAUUAUGCUAUUUGUAAUCUUAAGUGACCCAGUAAACUUAGUGAAAUAGUUAGGAUAAGGUUGACAUGCCAAUAGGGAUAUACAUGUACUAGAGUUCAGUAUUUGAGUUCCGUACUGGAGUUCUGUGGCCUUCGGGCUUAGCACCUCUAUUUGGUUUUGUGGGAUGAAUGCACUUAUGUGCAAUUUGGUUGUGUUGAGAGGGAUGUGAUAUGGUACCUAGCAUAUAUGUGUUUCUUGGUUGUGUAGGAUGGAUCCUAAGUAUCCGAGUCAUGUUUUACUAGAGUUUACUAAGGGCAAAAUGAAUUUAAAAUCCUAAUAAUGAAAUUUCACAAACGAGUAUCAAUUGCUAUAUAGGCUACAGUGAAUGAAAAAAGAUUUUAAUUCUUGUAAGUUGAAAAAGAGUGAAUAUGUGAUUUAGGAAUAUAAUAUGGUACUAAGGUUCAUCUAUAAGUGGUAGAAUAGAAAUGUGAAGUAAGCCAAACAAAUUAAAUAAUUUUCCUUGUAACGUUGGAUUUAAUCUAUAAACCACAAGAUUGGAUUUAAAAGUAAGACACUUCAAUUAUAUGCUUCUAAUAAGGAAAUUGAAUAUGUAAUAUGAUCGCGUCACGGUGUGCGUGCAUUGAGGCUAUGAAUCAACCCAAUUAUCUCUAAAUAUCUAGCAGCAUACUGCAAGUGUUGCAGGUCGAGUUGUAAUAUUUAUAGUGUUACAAUAGAACACCCGAGUAUUCCAAGGAUCAAACCUAAAAGAGUUUAGGGACAAAGUGAUUCCUAAGUAACAAGCAUACAAAUAGGAAGUCUAGCUAACUACUUGCUAAAUGUUAUAUUACAACAAUCAUAAUCAAGGGUAAAUUACACUAAAUUAAAUAACAUUAAGAAGGACCAAAUUGUAAGCAAGCAAAAUUACACAAUUAAUAAUUCAAGAGACACAAGAGAUUUGGUGACUUCCAUGUUGUUAGUCAUUGGAUUGGUGAUCUAAAAGGCUUAAACUACUAAUUGGCUCAAUUUUACCUCUCGAUCAUCAUUUUACUAAAUUAGACGAUUUAGUCCGGUUUACCUCUCGGCCUCACUCAACUAACUUGGGACAACUAAAUUAGUGCUCAAUAGGAUCUCCUCUCGGUCUCAACUAUCUAAAUAUUCACCUAGAUUCAUUAAUUCUAAGUUUUGAAGUUUAAUCGAUUUAGUCUAAUUUUUACGAUUUAGUCCCUGUACCAAAAACAACAACCCAAUACAUGCUAAAAUAAUACAUUAAAAUAAGCACAAGAGUAAGGUUAAAGAAAGCUUAGAAAUUUUAUUGAUGAUUACUUGAAGAAGAAGAUGACAAAAACAAUGGAGGUGAAAAAUACCAACAAAAAAUUAGAUUUUUAUGCUUUGAAAAGAAAAUGGAGCUAAGAUAUAUAAAAAUCCUUGGAUGAAAUUGAAAAUACAAGAUGAUUUUUGAGUACCAAAGUGCAAUUAAUACAAGAGCUAUAGUAGAAACUAACUAAACUACCAACUAAACCAACUAAAAACAAGAAAAAGCUAAGAACUAAACCUUAAAAGAUGAAGAAAUAACUGUUAAGCUUAAUAGAUGAAAGAAAAUGUGGCUUCUUUGAAGUUAUCAGCCAAAAGUGCCUUUUAACAGUUGAAUACAAUGCUAAAUCUUAGACAAAAAUGCCCCUAAAAGUUGUGUUUUGGCUUGGAUCGAUGUUGGAAAAAAGACUACCCCUACAAUAAUUUUUCUCCCCAUUAGGCAGCGAUGUCACAACACCCAGGCUUUGGUGUUACGACACCCUAGAUAGUGGCGCACUCAUGGUUGUAGGGGUCUCAGUGUCGUAACAUCCUACCCCUAGUGCCGUGACACCACUAGUGUUGGCUCUAAUUUCUUCAUUUCAACACCUCCAAGGAUAUCACGAAUUUGGAGGCUUGGUAUUGUGACCUUGGCUUGGUAUCGCGACUCGAGACUCUCUCGACAGUAAGCUCCAUGUUGAUUUUGUGUUGAAGUUUUGAAUCCUCAAGGUGAAGGGGUUCAGUGUCGCGAUAUCCAUCACAUUAGUAUUGCGACACACACUCUGAAUUAUGUUUUCCUCAAGGUUGAGCCAUCUUCAUCUUCCUACACCAACUCAAACACGUUGUUAGGUCCCCUAUGGCACCAUUUUACAAAUUUGGGUCUCAAUAGAGACACAACUCAACCAAAAAUGUUUAUUAACAGUAAAAGCUAAAACUCAACAAAAGAAAAGAAAAGACACUUAAAUUGCUUGAGAAUAAGCUCAUCGAGUGUAUUGAAGAGCCUAAUUGAUGUAUCAAAUUAUGACAGGUCAUAAUGUUGGAAAAAAUUUGGUUAAAAACUAGUUUUCUUGCACAGCAGACAAUUAAAAAUUUAAAAAUCUAGCCGAUUUGCGAUAUUUAUAGCAAUAAAAUUUACUUGAAAUUGCACCUAUGUUUUCGGUUAGACGAAUCCUUAUCAUUCUUCGCUUUCAACCGAAUGACCUUCUCUGCUAUUCUCACACCACGAUUUGCUUCUAGUGUUGGCUUAAACAAAUUUGAAUCAAACACAAGACUAUAAAUUAUUUACUUUAUUUUCAAUAGGAGAACAAAUCUCUCUUCAAUAGAAACCGGUAAAAUUGUUAUUCCAAAAAAUAAAAUUUAUACUUUAAAAAUAAAUUCUCACUAUUUUCAUGAAGAAUAACAAUAUCUCAAAGUUGUGUGUUUAGACCUAUUGGUGCCAUCUAUUUAUAGAGAGAAGAAGUGAAAACCUUGUUGAAUUAGGUGAAGUCUAUUUCAAUAGAAAAACAAAAUCCUAGUCUAACUAAGAGAGAGAGGGACGACAACCCUAGUUAAAUAUACCAAGGUUUGUCAUCCUAUGUAUUAACAUGAGAGGCUUUUGGGCCUCUCCUAUGACAACAACUGUAAUACCCCUAAUCCGUAUUCGUUGCCAGAAUAAGGUUAUAGAGUAUUAUAGGACAACGAAAUAGUAAAUCAUUCAAAUCAUACAUUAAUAAAAACAUAAUCAAAUUGCUUGGAUCUUAAGAAACUCAAAUACUAACCAAGAUACAAAAUCAAAAUGACAUCAAUCAAGUUAAAAACACAUCAAAACCAACCUACAAUGUGCCUAACCAAUGUACCCUCAUUGGUACCACAAUUAUAUACAAUUUAAUCUCAAAAUACACAUUAAUUCAAUUCAUCAACUCAUUCAAGCAAUACCAAAUCAAAAUACCUAACAAAAUUACCAUAACCACAACAAAUCAAAUAUAUGUAACCCAUACAUACUAGCAUAACAACUAUACCUCAUUCUCAUACCCUUUGCAAAUUGGUUAUUUGCACAAAAUAUCAUUCAUAACAUUUACAUAAGCCAAACAUUAACCAAAAUAGCAUAAGAGCCUACAUGCCAUAUAAUCCGAAUUUAACGUUUCAAUAACUACCGAGAUAAACUGGAUAGUGUGACUUGAGUGUUGAUCCGGUCGUCCAACCUUUCGAAAAUCUACAAUGACAUUAAACAACACAAGUAAGCUUAAUGAAGCUUAGUAAGUUCGACGAGUUAAACAAAAAUCUUACCGAACUAACUAUAAUAAAUCAAAUAAUAAAAAUCAUCUAAGACAACUCCUUGUCAUUCACAACUUCAAUCGAUAAAUACAUUCGUAUUCAAAUCAAUACAAAAAUAAAUAACAUGUCUUUCAAAUUCAUUAAAUAAAUCACCUUACCGAGAUUUUUUUAUUCGAAGAAUGACUUACGGGUAAGAGUACAUCGUCAACAGAAGCUCAUAAGAGCUGGUCCUCCCGAAUACUCCAAUAGAAGCUCAAAAGCGAAACGGAAUCUCGUAAGAGCUUAAUAGAAGCUCGUAAGAGCCGGUCCACCUAAUCACGCCAAACAGAAAGUAAAACACGAGAGUUCGCAACAAAUGCUGAAUCUCAAUUUACUUGGGUAAAAUGCCGAUAUCUCCCUCCAAUACCAUCUUCACUCUAAACCCCCGUCAUACACCAGAUCACGAAUGUACUCAAAUCCCGCGUUUAAUUCAAACCGAAUAUACAAUUCAAUAUUAUAAUUCAAACAAUAAUUCAUUUCCAACAAUAGAAUAUAUUCAUAAUACCAAUCAUCAAUUUAUAACCGUAUGAACUUACCUAGACUGAAUUAUAGUAAUUGUAGAAGUUCAGGAACUAUUAUCUAUUUUUUCUUUUCCACGAGUGUCUACGGGAUCUUGAUCUAAAAUAUAAAAUUACUCAUUUAUUAGCAUAUAUUUCAUUUCCAAUCCAUUUUACAAUUAAUACGCUUUAUUUUUGACUUUACGUUAUCCAAGCUUUUACAAUUUUUACAAUUUAAUCCCUUAAUUAGUUAAUCUAUCAAAUCAACUAAUUUUCUUAAAUCAAUAAUCUAUCCAAAUAUUCUAAGCCUUCAUACAACCCCUAAUAAACCUAAAAUUCACUAUCAAACCCUAAUAUUUUGACAUUUUUACAAUUUAAUCCUAAAAUCAAUAUUUAACAAAAAUCAUUUUAUAAAAUCAUCACACAACACAAUCAAAGCUCCAAAUCCAUGUUAUUCAUAAAAAAAAUCUAAUAUUUAUCAAUGACAACUUCUAAAAUUUUUAAUAGAAUUGAAAACGAAGGUACGGGCUAGCUGGACCUAAUUGCAACGAUCUCAAAAACAUAAAAUUUACAAGAAACGAGAUCAAAAUGGGCUUACAUGCAAAGAAAUAAGCCAACCGAAGCUUUCUCCUCACCCUAGUUAUGGCAUUUGGCCAUUUGAAGAAGAUAAUGAUAAAGUUUUGUUUUUCAUUCUUUAAUUUAGCUUAAUUUAAUUAAACUUCCAUUUAUUUACAAAAUUGCCAUCCAAUUCACACUAUUUUAUUAUUUUCUUUUUAAUUGCCGUCCCAUUAUUACAAUUAAGGCAUAAUUGCUUCUUAAGUCCUCCAUCAUUUAUUAAUCAAGCCAUUUAAUCACUUAAUUAUUAUAAUUAACAUAUUUUGCACUUUCUACAAUUUAGUCUAUUUAAUCACUAAACAUUAAUAUUUCAAAACCAAAUUUUAAUAUGACUAUAGUGAAUCUAUAAAUAUUCUAAAAAUAAUAUUUAUGAGUCAAUAUGACAAAAAUUUGUAGUCCCGAAACCACUGUUCUAUCACCACCAAAAAUCGGGCUGUUACAACAACCCUAAUUCUAGAUGACUUAAUCAACCUAGUAUGAGGAAAAUUCCAUUUCUAGCUAGGUUGGAAGAGAAAAUAAAAAAAGGAGGAUGAAGAAUUUGUAAAUUUUUUAAAUCUUUUUAAAUAUUUGAAUGUCAAUUUACCCUUCCUUGAGUUAAUUGAAAAAAUGCCUAAGUAUGCUAAAUUUCAAAGAGAAAUUAUGUCUAGGCGCAAGAGGAUAUGUAAGGGGGAGAAAAUAACUAUUAAUGCUGAGUGUAGUGCGGUUAUUGUUAGAAAAGUUCCACAUAAGCUUAAGAAUCUCGGAAGCUUUACUAUACCUAUAGAAUAGGGGGACUAAAUUUUGGGAAACUCCUUUGUGACUAAGGCACUAGCAUUAAUCUGAUGCCUUUUACUAUUUACCGUAGAUUAGGCUUAGGGAGCUAAGAGACACUUAGGUUACUCUGCAACCUGAAGAUAGGUCCCUAGUGCAUCCUAAAAGUGUGUUAGAAUAUGUGUUAGUCAAAGUUAGGCAGUUUAUUUUCCCGAUUGAUUUUGUUGUCCUAGAUUUUGAGGAAGAUUUGGAAAUUCUCAUUCUGUUAGGAAGACCAUCUUUGGUCACUUCUAAAUUCACCAUUGAUGUGGAAAAAGGUAAGCUUAUUAUGACAAUUGAUGGUGAUAUAGAGGUGUUCAAGUGUGUUAAUUCCUAGUCAGAAAUGGGGAAUUCUUAUUAUAGUGCUGCAUAGAGCACACACAACUCAUCACCGUUGGACAUCUGCUUCUAUCCUGGGCCAAUAAGAAUGCUUUUCUAGGUGAGCCAGAGUUUGAUCAACUCCAAAGUGUAAUCCAACUCUGGCGUCAUAAAGGACAGCGAGACACAUUUCUUUGCCCGACAUAGUUUGCCGUCUUUGUAGAGUAAGUCGUCUAGCUGGCUGUAGCCAUUUGCUAUCUGCACUCGGGCCAUCUUCUCCUAGACGCCUUUCUUUUUCAACGUCCUUCCGAGUACUCUGCCGUAAAUUCCUCGAAGUCCAAUAAAGUGGUAGAAACAGCAGUUGCGGCGCUUUACUAAUAAAUAACAUAGAAAGGGCUUUUACCUACCUUACUAAUAAAGAUUCUUUUUUACAUAAGGUUAAACGAAAGCGGUUGUUAAUGCUUGUAACUUACGUGUCUGAGAUUCCUCUUCUGUUUAUGAUUGAAACACCCCAUUAAUUACUUAUUCUUUUAUCUAGGCAGAAUUCUCUGAUAAAAAAGAAGGCAGCUUUUAAGAUAGAGUCUUUUACGGUUAUAGUGACAAGUGGAGAACAGAUCAAUCAGCUUUUAGCGGCUAAAAGAUGGAAAUAUUUCUUCUUGUGCUUGUGCUAGCACCUUGGAUGAAAUCCUUGUUCUUUCUUUGUUUGGGACAGAGGAUUAAAAUAAGAGUUGCGCCUCACCCCUAUUUGAAUGCCUUAUACCAUAACAUAAAAGGAACUAGAACUUCUUAAGAAACCUCUACUCCGGUAUUGGCCGCGCCGAAAAAAGCCUUGAAUCCUUUAUAGCGAUCUCGCCGCCUGCGAACAUUCUCUGGAAGUGAAGCAAUUUUAGCACAAGAGAAUGAACAGGGAAAUGGGAAUGCAUUAUACUACUUAAGCCGGCGAUUCGUAGAGGUGGAAUAAAACUAUUCACCAAUUGAAAAAGUGUUUUGUGCCUAGCUUUGGUCUUUGUUGUAAAAAGCACUAUUCAUGCUUGUUAUUCACUUAAUUCCUCAAUUUCUCAUCAUAUUGAUAAAUUUGAUUGAAGGUAUUUGCACUGGUUUGGAUUUCAGGUGUACGUUCACGAUCAUAAGAGAGGAAACUUUGGAAAGAUUUGAAGAUUUGGCGAUGCUUAAGGAAGAAAUGACAAAUGACCCACUUGAGGAAGAAGUGGAGUAGCUAAGCAUGGGGCACCGGCUUAAUGGAUUUUCACAGAGGAACAAAUGAUUGCCCUAGGAAAAAUUUUUAAACUAUUUGUCAAUUUGGUGGUUGUGUAAAUUAUUUGAAUUUAUGGAUUUGUAAUUGGAUUUUUUGUGGAUUAUUGGAUUUUAAAUUUUGCAAUUAGGAUUAAAUUUUAUUAUUAGUUUAUAAAGAUUUUAUGUGAAGGGUUGAAGAACUAAAUUUGAAAUGAGUUAUACCGAGACUAUGGUCAGUGUCGCUGUUGGAAAAUCGGGUUUAAAAAAUGCAGCAAAAAAUAGGUUUAAGGGAAAAUCAGAGUUUUAAAUUUUUUUCUAAAAACAAGAACUUGGUUGUGUUAUCUAAAAUAAUAAACACUUAAUCAAAAUCGUACUUUUAUGAUUCGUCUAUGAUGAACGCUUCGACUGAGUAGUAUUCUCCGUUAUCCUUAAGCUCACUCUGUAGAGUUUGGGCUUGCUUCGAAUCAGAAAAUUUUUCGCAAAAUUACUAGUGGGGCAAUUUCAUAAUUUGUUUAAAUUCUGGUUCAAGUUGUAAAUAAUAAGAAUAUCUCUAAAAAUUUUCUGAAAUAAUUUUCAGAGAAUUUUCUCUCUACAACUUUUCUUGAAAUCACCUGUGAGAAUAAUUACCCAUUCUCUCUUUAUAUAUGGAUAGCUUAGAAAGAGUUCAACUAUGAUUAGAAUUAAUCACAUUAAUAUUAAAUUAAUAAAAUAUUAUCUAGAUAAAUAUUAAAUUAAAUUAAAUAUUAAAUUUAUUAAAAUAAUAUUAUCUUUAGAAAAGUUAAUUUGAAAUCAAGUUACUCAGUAGAGUUUCACUAGGAGUCUAAUUUUUCCACUAUUCUACCAUUGAAGAACCGUUAUCGACUAUCCGCCAGUUGCCCAAAUCGCCACCAUUGCAACCGCCGUGCCCAGCGGUGCCAUCGCCGAUGCAAUCCCUCGACACCCCGAACUGUCUCCAUUUUGCCUGAAUGGGCUUGGUCGGCUCAGCACCUCCUCUCGAGGUUGUUGGUAUCGUGGCUGGUGUCGGUUCAAUCGGAGCCAGUGAUAGUUUGAUCGGUUCAGUCCAGCCACCAAGUUUCGUAAAAGGGCCCAGUUCAACCAAUUUUUGGUUUCGGUUAUCGGGUUCAAUUUUUAUCUCGGAUCCAAUUUUCAAGUUCAAUUACCCACUGGGCCAAUUGUCUGACUUGAAAAUUAAUUCCCAAAAACAUCAUAUUUAUUUUAAUUAAUUUGAUUAUUUUAAUUUUACUUUAUCAAAAUUAAUUUUUUCGAAAAUCACUGAGAUUUUUCAAAUUAAUUUUUCAAGAAAAUUCUUUAAUAAAAUUCUCUAGUUGAACAAUUCUCAUGACCGCUUAAUUUAAUUCCACAUUGAAUAAAUUGACUCAAUUAAAUUAUUUCUAAAGUCGUAGAAUUUUCUUCUGAUUCAAAUACAGUUCAAUCGAGCUUUUGUUGAGCUAGUUGUGGGACCAAUCAGACAUAUACAAUUAGGCUCGAGUAAUUGCAAUUAUGUCCAAAAGCAUUGUUCCUAUAGUUCAUAAUUUACUAAAUCAUGGAGUCGGUCUACAAGAUGUACCAUGAUUGAAAACUCCUUACUGUAUAAUCUUUAUGAAAGCAAUUCAUCCAACUGCUUUGUCCAAUGACAUAGCCAAGUAUGUGUUACACACAUAUGAUAUCUUUGAUUUCUUUGAGUUAAAUCUGUUCAUUCAGUACAAUCCUAUUUUAUUUCACUGUCACCAUUGUGUCUUCUUAAUGAUUAAUAUGAUCAUUGUUAACUAAUGGCUAUGAUAAAUUGCUCAUUCAAGAACAAGCAACUUGUGGCCACGCUCCAUAUUUAUCAAUCCCUCUCAACGCCAAUGAGAGGAUAUUAUUAACUCUAUAAUCGAGCUAUGAAUUCCAUUGUUGAUAGUAAAGCCACGUUAUACACAAGUCAUGUACCCAACGUACUGGUUAUUGACUUGAUUAUCUUUAGAGCAUAAGCCUCCUCUUAUAUCAAAGCAUAUGAGUUAUAUACGCAUGGUCAGUGGCUAACAUAGGAUUUAAGUAAGUCACACCAUGAACGUAACAAGUGAAUUAAUUCACAAAAAGAUACAGAAUUAAUUCAAUUUGGUUUCAAUCCAAUGUAUCAUUCUUCUAAUGAGUACAUCUAUGUCUUUACUCGUGGAGUCAACUGCUUCGAUAGCUAAAACUAGUCAUCUCCUUAAUUGGAAUUGUAGACGACAUAAUAAUCCUUCUAAGUAUUUGAAUCAAAUGCUCACUUUGAUUCUUUUACGGGAUUACGAACUCGUUUAGAUUAUCUAUUGAAGUAAGUUGUCGUUCUUGAAUUGUAAACAUUCUUACAGUGCCACUUAUCAUCAAUUUGAACUUAGACAAUCAAUGAUCUAAUAUUUUCUUGUCACAAUUUUGCUAUUGUUGAGUAUGACUCAUAUUUCAGUCAAAUUUGAGAGAUAAUCUCCUAGUUAAACUCUGUUUAUUUGUUUCAGUCGAACUCUAAUUAGUCUAGAUUAUUUUAUCAUUAUUUGAACUACGAAUUUAGCCUAUAAAUACUCUUUUAUAACAUUAGAAAACACACCCGUUAAAGAUUAGAACUCAUAACACUUUUGGAGAAUUUGUGUUUACAUUUUGAGGGUUCUUUGUUUUCAGUAGGGGUGUGCAAAAUUUGGGUAAAACCGAAAAAAUUCGGUUAACCAACCGAAUUUGGUUAAUUGAUCGGUUAACUGAAUUUUUUCGGUCGGGGGUCGGUUAAUUAUUUUUUAAUUUUUUUGGUUAACGGUUAUGGUUCGAAACAGGUCGGUUAACCAAAUUUUUUUGGUUUAACCGAAAAAAUUAAUAAAUAAAAUGAUAAUAUAUAAAUAGACCCACUAUUCACCUAAACUCAAUCCAAACCCAAGUAUCCAACCCAACCCAAUUACCUAACCCAACCCAAUCAUAAAAAUUACAAAUAAUUUAAUAAAUAAAAAUAAAAUUCUAAAACUAAAACUAAAACUAAAACUAAAACUAAAACUAAAACUAAAGUCCAAAAGUCUAAACAAAUAAUUUAAUAAAUAAAAAUAAAAUUCAAAGACUUAUGUAAUGUUUUUAAUUAUGUAGUGAUUCAAUUUGGUUAAUUUGGUUAAUUCGGGUAAUUCGGUUAAUACAGUUAAUUCAGGUAAUUCAGUUAAUUCGGUUAAUUUUUAACUAAAAAUAAAAAACAUAUAAUUUUUGGUUAAUUCAGUUAACCGACCGAAUUAAUUGAAAAAAUUUUGGUUCGGUUAAUUUUUUUGAAAAAAUUUCGGUUCGGUUAACGGUUAAAAAUUUUGAAAGGUCAGUUAAUGUUAUUUCGGGUCGGUUAACCGGUUGGUUAACUGACUGAACACCCCUAGUUUUCAAGUUUUGGGGUUUUAGUUUUUAUCUUCAUCUAUUGUACUCUUCGUUCUUUUGCCAUUAUAGUAAAAUUAUCUUUACCAAUGGUUUUUUUAUUCUCUUUGGAAGGGUUUUUCCAUGUUAAAUUUGUGUGUUCAAAUUCUCAAUUUCUUUCACUAUUUUUACUUGUUCGUUACUUAAUCGGGUCGAUCCCCAAUAAGUUGUAUUAGAGAUAGUUCAAUUUUCGUAGAUCAGCUUGUUUAGAGAUAGAAACAAUAAGAGCACGUUUGGUUCGCUGUAUUGGAAUAGAGGCGUAAUGGAAUAGAGGCGUAAUAGCAAAUCAGUUGUUUGGUUGAAUGUAAUGAAAUAGAGGCGUAAUAGUAUUCUUGUGUUUGGUUGAAUGGAAUAGAGGUGUAAUAGCAUAAUGGAAAAAACUAAAAUGACUAGAAUACCCUUAGCAUAAAUUUGUUUGGGUAAAUGAUUAUUGUUAUUGUUAUUUAAAUUUUAAUAAGAUUAUUAAUAUCAAUAAUAGAGCAUUUAAUCAUAUUUAAACAUAAUAAUUAUUAAAUAUAUUAUAAUUAAAAUAUAUAAUUUAAUAAAAUUCUUAAUAAUCAAUAUCUUAUAUGAAUUUACUCAAAUCAUAAUAUAUGAUACUAUAAAAUAUAAUUUAACAUAAUUAUUAUUAAAUAUAUUAUAAUUAAAAUAUAUAAUUUAGUAAAAUUCUUAAAAAUUAAUAUUCUUAUAUGAAUUUACUCAAAUCAUAAUAUAUGAUACUAUAAAAGAUGAUUUAACAUAAUUAUUAUUAAAUAUAUUUUAAUUAAAAUAUAUAAUUUAAUAAAAUUCUUAAUAAUCAAAAUUCUUAUAUGAAUUUACUAAAAUCAUAAUAUAUGAUACUAUAAAAUAUAAUUUGAAGUAAUUAAUAUUAAAAAUAUUUUAAUUAAAAUAUAUGAUUUAAUAAAAUUUAAAAUAAUUAUAACUAAUAAAUUUUCUUAUAUGAAUUUGUAUAAUUUAAAAUAAUUAUUAUUAAAUAUAAUUUAAUAAUAAUAUAUAAUUUCAUAAAAUUCGUGAUAAUAAAUUUUCUUAUAUGAAUUUAUAUAAUUUAAAAUAAUUAAUAUUAAAUAUAAUUUAAUAAUGAUAUAUAAUUUCAUAAAAUUCUUGAUAAUAAAUUUUCUUAUAUGAAUUUAUACAAUUUAAAAUAAUUAAUAUUAAAUAUAAUUUAAUAAUAAAAUGUUCUUAUAUGAAUUUACUAAAAUCAAAAAAUAACUUGAGAAUUAUAUUCUGCAUAAACAUAAUUAACUUAUAUUAAGAAAAUGUUAGAUGAAAAUGAAAUUCUACAUCAUAAUCCAUACGUUAUAUAGUUUUACAACAUCAUAAUAAAUUUUCUUAUAUGAAUUUAUACAAUUUAAAAAGUUUGGAGUACGCAAUUCCAAGGAAAAAGUGGAGGGGAUGAUAUCACUUUCCUCUCUUUUUGGAUUUCUAUUUGUUAAUGACAAAUGCAACAUCAGAUUUCAGCUACUCCAACAUAAAUAGAACAGGGUAACAAUUUUAUAAGAAACCAAAUCGAACAAAUUUCCACAAUUAACUCCAGUAGUUGAUCUGUAAGCCAGAUCUCCUUCCAGGCAUAAGAGUGAAUUUCUAACGCCAAUAACUAAUUUAACUUUACAAAUCCAUUGGCAUGAACUAAUCAAAUUUGUGUUAAUAAUAGAUACAGAUUCGUUUUCUAUAUACAGAAGCAAUGCAUCAAAGCAAUCCGGCCAUUACUGAAUACAACAGCCUCCAAGACUCAACAACCAAAAAUACUAAGAAGGGGGAGAGCGAAGAACCACCACAGAGGAAAUGAGGCAGUAUCAUGCAUCUAGCAGCAACCACGAACAAGAUUUUGUCUAAAACUUCUGCAUGAUGGGUAAAAAGAUUCCUAAAAACCUGAUUGUCAAGAAGGUGACAUAGACCUCUGGAAGUUGUAAUAUGAAAAGAUUCUUAUCAUUUUAUGAAAAUAAGUGGUACAAAAGGUGUUUGAGGAAGAAGUGAGGUGUAAGUCAAUUCAUUCCAUGUUUUCCCCUCAAUGAAGGGAACAAAUAAAUCAAUUGUGUGAAAAAUACUUGAAAAUAUAAACUCCAUAUACUACCUUCUCUCCAUAUUUGAUUCAGGAAGCAUAUAAGACACAACAAACAUUACUUCAAGAUGCACCAAAUACAGUUAACACAACUCCAAACUAUUCAAAUAUACAAUAUGGUUUUAUUAACAAGAUACUAAACCACUAGACCACUGCAAAAGAGCAUGUAUAAUAUGAUCUUAUUAAAAAAGUACAAAAGAGCUACCUCUCAUUGUGAAGAGCAAAGAGAACGAAUCAAAUAAAUUGACUUCGGAAAGCAGCCAACCAAGAUGGUUACAUUGUCAACUUAUAAAUACAGAGAACAAGGUUCACAAUGUUUUGCACAGACAAAUAGAACAAUAUAUAAUAUGAACUCCCACAGAGCUUUAUUCCACAAAUAAAACUCGCAUGCCAACCACUAAUUGAAUGCAGUGGAAUCUAUCUGUUAAAGAACAUGGAGAAAAAAUCCAACAAUAAUCCAAAAGGCUAUUUUUUAGCAUGACGUCUGGAAGGGAGACAUUUAUUUUCCGAUCGAAUAGUCACUGGUUGUGCUAUGCUGCAGAAACUUGCAAGAACAAUCGAAACAGGAAAAAUAAAACUGAAAGAAACAAGAAUAUUAACCUCCUCUUGAUCAAACAAAAACUCCUCUUCAUCAAGUCCAGCUGCAGGUAAAUCCUCAUCCUCAUCAUCUAGCCCCCCCAAUUCAACUUCCUCGAGAACAUCGUUUCCAAAAAAUGCAUAUUAUGAUGCAUCAAAUACUGCACCUCCUGCAUAAUAGAAAGGUUAACUUUACUGAAAUGAGCUCUUCAUAAAUAAGAAAACACAUCAUAAGAAAAAUAUCAUUUCACUAAAAAUCAGUAGCAACACAGAAUCAUUAAAAAAAGAACUUUCUCCAAUUCAAUGGGCAGGAAUGGGGUAAUUGAGAUGGGCGCAAGUUAACACCCUUUGUGUAUCCAAGGGCCUGAUAUUUCUCAAAAUGUACAAAAAGCAGCUUCUCCAAUUCAAUCAUAAUUCAAAUAAAUCGUGCUUAUUUCCAUCACUAAAAAUAUUCGAAACCAAAGUCAAUUCAACUGAAAGUCUGAAACACCAGCACACUGAAAUCAUUAACUGGCGUGAUUUAGUAGCCAAAUUCAAACUUAUAAUUACUAAUCUGGAAAAUGUCCAGGAUAACAUGAAACAAAGUCGCUACUUAAAAACCAGAAAUUGUUCACAUAUGGAAACGACAUUUGACUUCUAACUGAAUCAAACAGUGUUACCACAAUUGUUUUAGCAACAAAAGCCUGCCCUUAGCAUUGAAAACACAAUAUUUAAGGAUCUAAUUUUAUUUCCUUCUAACCUGUUAUACAUUUGAUCUCAGAAGAACGGUAACUCCUCCACCACAAAGGUUUCAAAUUUUACUCUAAGCUUAAAGCCAACCAAAAGAGAAGAAAACAAAGCUAAUUUUAUCCCCAAAAUGCAUAAACCAAGUAAAUUAAAGCAAAAUGAAUCGAAUAUCAACCUUUAUCAGUAUCGCUGAAUUGCUUAAGAUCCUCAGAAGCAUCCAUUUUAUAUGCACUUCAAAAUUACCACGCAACAGGGAAACCCAAAACAGAAAACCCUAAUAAUUAAUUGAACCUCACAAUCUAAUUGUUUCUUUUUUAAAAAAUCUAAAAUCUGAACUCUAACAAGAAAAAGAAUUACAAGAAAAAUGGCGAAAAAAUGGUUUGAAAAGUAAGAACCCUUAGCAAAGAAAAAAUGUUUGGUAGAGAAAAGAUCUGUAUGUAUUUCAUGGAAAGGAAAUAGUUUUCUUUUUUCUUUCUUUCAGAUCAAAUUUGUUGAGAUAAAUAGAGAGAGAGAGAGAGAGAGAGGAACCCUUCGGAAGAGAUAACGAAGGAAAUUUCUUGUAGCAAUUGAGUCGACCGAAAAAGAGUUUCAGAUUAACAUCAAUUGGCUUGAGUUUGAGAGCAGUAUAAGGAAGCAUCAAUUUUCUCACAGGCGAUCUGAGACGGUGGAAAUUUGGUUCGAAGAAAACUGCUGUUGAUGUUGGGAGGGAGAGGGUGGGGUGGAGCAGCAGAUUUUGGCUGGGGAGGGUAAAACAGAGACGAUUAGCUAAUCCUUACUUUUGGAACGGAAUGGCUAAUCGUUGUUGAAGCAGAGAAAAUAAAGAAUACAUCCGUGUUGUAAUAGGCCUGUAAUAGGCAAUACAUCAAACCAAACACGGGAUUAAGUGGGGAUUAGUGGGGCCCACGGAAUAGGGGUGUAAUAGCUAAUCCAUUACACCAAACCAAACAUGGUGUAAGGUUUGGCAUUGAGAAGUUUGAUGGUGUCACAAACUUCAAUCUGUGGCAAGUUCGGAUGAUGGCAAUUCUAAUUCAGACCAGCCUGAAAAAGGUCUUUACCGGGAAAAAUCCUAAGAAUCUAGAUCAGAUAAAAAUAGAAGAGCUUAAUGAAAAGGUCUUGUUUGCAAUCUUGUUGUGCUGCGCGAAUAUGGUAUUGUAGGAUGUAUUGAUGGAGAAAACCUCAUUCACCUUGUGGAAAGUGUUAGAAACUCUUUAUGCGACUAAGUUUUUGGCUAACUGUUUAGUGUUUAAACAACGUCUAUUUACGUUUCGCAUGAAUGAAUGUGAGCUUUUUAGACAUCACAUUAGUUUAUUUAUUACUCUUUUGAAUGAUUUAAAGAAUGUUGAGGUUAAGAUUGACGAUAGAGACCAGACUAUGCUAUUAUUGUGCUAAUUACCUCCUUCAAACAAGUCUUUCAGGAAGACACUGAGUUAUGGCAAAGACAAACUCUCAUUUGAGGAUGUGAAGGAUCAUUUGUUGAUUAAAGGCUCGACGAUAAGUUUGGUUUGGAUAGCAAGGCAGACAGACAAACUUCCGUUUUGGUAGCAUCAAAGAAGCGAGACAAAAGAUGUCACUAUUGUAAGAAGUUAGGCCAUGUCAAAAUAGAUUGUUAUAAACUAUGAAAUAAAAAGGCUGCUGAGAGUAACAAGGAAGAUGUAGCUCGAGCUAAUUUGGCUGAUGAAAGCGGUGAUGAUUUCUUGUUAGUGUUAGCGAGCGAUAGCUCCGAGCUUACGUCUGAGUGGAUCCUAGAUUUGGGAUAUUCUUUCCAUAUAUGUCCCAACAGAGAAUAGUUCUCCACAUACAGUUUGGUUGAAGGUGGAGUUGUGAGCAUGAGAAACGAUUCAUCUAGUAAGGUAAUCAGUAUUGGUACUAUUAAAAUUAAUAUGCACGAUGGGAGGAUUAGGACACUCUCAGAUGUCAGGUAUGUACCUGAUUUAUGAAAGUAUCUCAUCUUCUUGAGUAUCUUAGACUCGAAAGAUUACAGAAUCAGCAUCGAUUUGGGCAAUAUUAAGGUGUAUUAUGGGGCUCUCUUUUUGUUAAAAGGUAAAAAAAUGAAUAAUCUUUAUAUUUUGAAAGUUUCUGCAGUGACCGGUGAAAUCAGAUGUCUCUCAUCCGUUAUGUGUUGAAGUCAACUCGUUUGGAGUAGAGGCAACUUGGUCAUAGGAGAGAAAAAAUGUAUGACCGUUUUGUUGAAGAGAUGUUCUCUUUUGGAUGCAGGUUUUGAAAAGUUGGGACACUAUGUUCGUGAAAAUCAGACCUAAGUUAGUUUUGAUUUGGCAGUGCACAAGUUGAAGGCUGGAAGUCUUCUAGCUUCUAAGCACAGAUUCAAAUCAGUUAAUUCCCUGCAUAGUUCAAGAUAGGCCCGUGACGAGCUUUAGCAGAGAUGGCAUUGUGGAAAUACAAGUCAAGGUGGAGAUUUUUUGAGUAUGACUUAUAUUUUAGUUAAAUUUGAGAGAUAAUCUCCCAGUUAAACUCUGUUUAUUUGUUUCAGUCGAACUCUGAUUAGUUCAGAUUAUUUUAUUAUUAUUUGACCUACGAAUUUAGCCUAUAAAUAGGCUAUUUUACAACCUUGUAAAACAAACACAUUAAAGAUUAGAACUCAUAACACUUUUGGAGAAUUUUUUUGUUUACGUUUUGAGAGUUCUUUGUUUUUGAGUUUCGGGGUUUUAGUUUUUAUCUCCAUCUUUUGCACUCUUCGUUCUUUUGCCAUUAUAGUAAAAUUAUCUUUACUCGUGAUUUUUUAUUCUCUUUGGAAGGGGUUUUCCACGUUAAAUUUGUGUGUUCAAAUUCUCAAUUUCUUUUAUAUUUUUACUUGUUCGUUACUUAAUUGGGUUGAUCCCCAACAGCUAUGUAUGCAAAACAUGAAAGACAAAAAUACAAAAGAUAUAAUAGUGAAAUGUGAAAUUAACUUUAUUCAUUUAUUCAUCAUUCAAAUAAAUGGAAAACAGUUACAUGUUUACUACAAUAUUGACACAUUUCUCAACAGUCGUGACACCAGGGUAUUAGUGUCACGACAUUAGCAACAACCUUGAGUGAUGGUGUGUGGAUUAAAAUAGAGCCAGAAUCACGACAUGAAAGUCAAUAUGGAGUUUGAGAUUUUAGGCUAAAAUCAGGAUCAGUUUCGCAACACCAUGCUAUUGAAGUCGCGACACUACAAGCAAACUAUGUCGCGACAUCAAGACCUUGAUGUCACAACGCUAAGUCGGGUACAACUAAACACCCAGUUCCAAGUCACAACUCGGUUAUGUUAUAACAUUAAACCCUCCAUUUUAAUCCCUAUUUACUCAAUUUAUUUCAGUUUUCAAGUUCUAAAACCCCUCAAACUUUUUCCCUCUUGCCUCUUUUCUCAUUCUAGGGUUUCAAAAAAUCCUUUCCUCUAAAAAUCUGCACUUGUUCUAAAAAAAAUUUACAUUUUAGUUUUCGUUUUGUUUUCAAGUUUUAGAAAGGUGAUUCAAUCUCAAGGUAAGAAGCAACUAAGGGAAGGGCAAACAUCAUUAUCUUCUUCAACAACAACUAAGCUUAAGGGUUUCAAUAUUUACCUCUUAAUGUACUUUAAUAGAUUUGUAAAACUCUAGGAUUUUAAUGGUCGUAUUGGGUUAUUUGAUGAGUAGUUUUGCUAUUUGUUGAAAACUUAUUGUCUAUUGAAGUCAUAGUCAGUCUUGUAUGAUUAUUUGAGUUGGUAAAAUUAUGUUUAUUAUGGUAGAUUAGUUGGUUAGUGCAUUUCACAAUUCUUGCUUAUCUUAAAACUUAGUGAAAAUAGUGACAUGGCUUCUAAAGGCACAGAAAGGGCAAAAUAUCACCAAGCAAAAAAAGAAAAAAAUCAUUGCUCGAUCUAAAUGAAUUUAGAUUUUGAACUAAAGAAAUUGAAUAAAAUAUUUUUUAGAACUUUAAGGAAAAACGUUCUUUCUUGAACGAGGUUUCAAUCCGGCGUUGUCUCUGUGCGACGAAAUAUGAGAUUUAGUCCACCAUCAUGACUGGUAUGAUUUUUGACUUACCCCAAAGGAAACUGCUAUCAUUUUGGUGGUCUAAGAAUUUUAUGCUAACUUAAGAGACACCAAGGAGGACAUAGUAUUCAUUCGGGGAACUUAUGUUGACUUAUCCCCUAGCAACAUUUGUAGAUAAUAUAUUGUCCCAUUUUAUAAGGCUGAUUAUCUUGAAUCCUAUGAUUUGAAAUUUUUUCAAGAUAUCAAUAUGGACGAUAUGAUGAAUUUCUUAACUAAAAAUAGGGGGGAGGGGGGCAUGGAAAGUUCAACAAAACACUAACUUACCACUAACCUUUAAUCAAGUCAUUAUGUUCCCUAUUGAUAAAAUAUGGAUGCAAUUAAUAUGCACUUAAGUUUGUCUUGCUCUAAACGCUUCUAAUGUGACUACUUUUUGAGCUACACUAUUGUAUGCCAUUUUACAGAAAAAGAAGAUUAAUUUGGGGACAUGGUGUUGGAUCGCUGAUACGUCCUAUGCCAUAGCAGAAAAAUUAUCCUGAUGAUUGUCAACCACGGAUUCAUGUACGAGGAAUGAGUCGGGUUGAAAUAGUGUUGAAUUUAUACCUUUUAAAAUUGAAGAAUGGUGAGUAAGGCUAUUGGUUGGAUUCCUUUACGCGAUGUCAAUCCUAGACGCAAUAAAAUGUCUUAGGCUCUACAUAGUCCACCCAGUUAAGCACAAACAACAAAACUCUUUGAACUUUUCAGAGAGAAUACAAACUUUUGGAUGUUAGACCUAGUUUGAUUUUCUUAACCCUUUUCUACAUGAUCCAGCAUUGCAUUCCUUUUAUUAAUACCAUGUAUAUUAAUAAAAAUGAAAUAAUGCCCUUUUUACUUUCAGAUAAAAUCAUCAAAGAUAUUGAAAUUAUAUUCUUUCCAAAAGAACAUUAACUUCCAUAAAUAUUAACUUUGGAAAUAUACUGCGAAUCGUAUCCGCUAGGCAAUCCUAUUCGCCAAGCUAUUUUGUCCACCAGACACUACUAUUCGUCAGGCAAUACUGUCCGCCAAGCUAUUCUGUCCACCAAGCGAUAUUUAUCCACCAAGGAUAAGAAUACAUCAUAAUCGUAUGUAGGAGGGUAUACACCCAUUCUAUUGGCAUGAAGUCUGUUUGCUUUAACCAUAGAGUGUGACCCUGUAGGUUCUUGUAACAUUGGUAGUAAUACUCGAACAUUUCUAAUGUUACAAGCAAUAAGUGGCGUCUAACAAUGCAUCAUUGCUACCCAAGUUACAAGAAGUUGUGAUUCGACAUAACUUUUCUUUGAUAAACUUUUCAUGUAUUAUAUCCUUCUAUCUUUUAUAUCUAGAUUGGAUACAAGUCAUGGUGUAGUCACCCUUGUAUAGUUCAAUAUCAUAUUUCUUGAUAAUCUGAGUAGACUAUGUUAAAAAAAUAAGUGUGAUAUCUCAUAUCAACAUUAGUCUUUAUAGUUCAACCUAUUACGGUAGACGUUUGACUAUAUCAAAAUAUACAACUCACAAUGUUGGGACAAUGAUGAUCUCAAGUCUGAGGAUCAUAUACAUAGUUAUCACUAUGAGUAAUGUUUAUGACUAUUGCAUAAUAAUCCAAGAAACAUAGUCAUGGUAGGAAAGUCCAGUAUGUUGUUCUCUAACACAUACUCAUGUAUUAAUUUUUAACAUCCCUAUGUCAAUGACAACACUUUGUCAUCAAUCAACUACACAUUAGUCUCAAUACAUUAUUAUUGUCCAAUACCACAAUAAUACUUGACUAAGGGCCUUUUAAGAAUAAUCAUAUUAUUUUUAGGAUUUUAUUAUUGAUCAAUUUAUUUAUAUACAUAGAAAAAGAAACUGAAAUAACAAUGACAUUGUCUUAUAUUAAUAAACAAGGUAAAACGAGUAUGUAAUUACAACCAUCUCAUAAUUGGUCUUUGGGCAUACUCUAACACAUGGAUCAACAAGUUUAUGCGCAAGUGCGUUAGUGAGCCAAGGAUAGGAAUAUAUUUUCCUCACUUGGUAAUAGAGUUGUGUUGUGAAGUUGGUGUCUCAAUUUAAUCUAUUGAGCAAUUCCUUAAACCUUCAAAGUUUAGAGUAAUUGAGUUUAGAGUUUAAAGUUUCUAAUAAUUUGUAUAAUUACAAGCUUUUUGUAAUAAUUUGUGUAAUAAAAUAAUAUAAAAACAUUACAAAUGUUAAAAAAAUUAUAUAAUAAUUUAUGUAAUGUAAUUAUACAAAACAUUAUGAAAAUUAUAAUAGUUUGUAUAUGGAUAAUUAUUCUAUAUAUUGCAAAUGAAGCUACCAUUUAUCUUUUUUUUUUAAAUUAUAAGUACAUGUGAUGAUAUAUAAUAUUAAAUUCACUUGUAUAGUUUUUUAUUAGUUUUUAUUUUCGUUCUAUGCAUGAUUGUUUGUGUAUAUUAAAUUUAUAAUAUUUUUAUAACAUUAGUUUUUAUUUGAAAUUUUUAAUGAAUUUUUCAAAAAAAUCAUUAAUAAAUUGGAAAAGGUAAUGUAAUUACAAAAUGUUUUAAAAAUAUUUAACUAUUUUAGAAUCAACUAUAUUGAUGUUAUUUAAUUUUAAAAUAAUACAAAAAAUUAUCAUGGUUUUGUUAUUAAUGUUAAUACGUUAUAAUUUAAAUUAUAUUAUCAAUAAUUUCUUACAGGUAAAAUUGUUGAUAUUUGAUUUUUUGUAAUUUUACAUUUAUUUUUACUAACUUAAAUCAAUGAAUGUUAAUAACUCUUAUUUUUAUUUGAAAAGUAUAAAUUUAAUUUGAUAAAUGCUAUUAAUAUGUGUCUUUUUAAAAAAAAAUUAUAUUUGAAACUUAACAAUUUAAUAUUUAUUAAUUUUAAUAUGAUAAUAAUAAAAGUUAACUCAAUUAAGUAAAAUCUUAAAAUAAAAGGAUAUUAUAUUUAGCAUAUAAAAAUUAUAAAGAAAGAAAAUUAAACAAAAGGCAUAAAAUAAAUUAAAAAAUUAAAAAAUAAUGACUAAAAGAGCAAUUUACCCAAUUUGUAAAUAAGUGUAAAAAAACUUAGUUUGUUUGUUUUUUUAAUCAUCCGUACUUCAAAGGUAUAUAUUUUCUUGAAUAUUUGUAUCAACGUUUUUGAACGAAAAUUAUAUAUUGUUUUAAACAUUUUCAUUUCCUUAUGAUGUCAUCAAAGUUGUAAAAGUUUCAUACAAUUUUUUCAUAUAGAAGAUUUUUGCAUGUUGAUUUUAAGAAUACUGUGAAAAGUUGCGUAAAUUUAUAAUUUUAUUAUUUUUUCAGUCGUUUGCUUUGAUUUUUAUAAUUUUUUCGAAAGAAACAAUGUUUAGAUUUUAUUUCCAUGAAAAAUGUGUUGAAUGAUUUUACUACUUCCAUUCAGGUGUUUUAUUUAUUUAUUAAACGCAUAAUAUGAAAUAUUCAAAUCACUAAAAUUAAGAUUUUAUUUCCAUUUCUCAGCUUUACACUUUCUAAAGAUUCAAAUUCACAACAAAGUCAUAACCUGAGUUUAAAUAAAUAUAAGACGCUCUGGGUGUGGGAAAAAGUAUGUGUCCACAUCUUUACCAAAAUUAGGACCCCCUGUGCACAAAUCCAAGGCAUGAAAAUCAUACAUCGCAAACAAGGAUACGAUGAGGUCACCAUCCAAUUUGACAAUCUCAAGAUUGUUGUAGCUAUUAGUAACAGCAAACUUGAAGGAUCAAGCUCUACCCUAAUCAAGAGGAUUCAACAAAUACUAGCUAAUGAAGAAAAGUGGACUUUGAGAUAUGUUCCUAGAGAGAAUAAUAGGAUUGCAGAUGCUUCAGCAAAACUGGCUCUCUUGAAUGAUGAAGAAUUGCACAUGUUUGAUGAUCCCCUAUGGAGAUUGAAAUGGUCCUAAAAGAAGAAAACACUAUUGGCAAUUUACUUAUGAACACUUCUAUAUAAUCCUUUGUUUAUUCUACCAAAAAAAAAAAAAAUCAUACAUCGCAUUGGUUGAAACUAUCCAGUUCAUGGACACAGUUCUAAGUUAUAUCAGAGCAUACAACCCAAGCAUAAAGGAGUAUGUUUGCAAUCAUUCACAAUACCAGAUCGGGUUUACCUCCUCAGUGACCGUCGCAGAGAGCACACCAGCUGGCAUAAACCUGUCAGAUUUUAUCAUUGGUUGAUAGCCCAGUCAGUUUCAUCCACUGUGAGAUCUUUUUUGCCUCAAACCUCAACGAACUAACUGGGCACAACCUCAAAAUAUUGAAGGGUUAGUCCAAGUGGGGGUGAGAGCAGAGGAGGCAAGCUAAAUAUACCCCUACGUAUUUAAAACAGGUAUUCAACAUCCUGAACUUGAUUUUGAGAUCAGCGCCAGUAUUGAGCCCACCGAUGAAUAGUCUCAACCAUUUGAGGAAACAAGGCACUAACACUCUCAUUGAUAAGAUCCUGGAAGAAAUGUAUGCAGGCCUCAUCAUCCAAGUCCAACCGGAACUUCUCUUGGAGCUAUACCAAAAGAGAACAGUUCAAAAUGGGUUUAAAAAAAAAAAAGUGCAGGUCCCAGAAUGAUCAUUGGAUUCAGAACAGAAAGAACCCACCUUGAGGAUGCCUUUUUCAGGAUCAGAUGCUAUGUCAGGAAUGUUGGAACCGGCCAUGAGAUGGAAAAGAUUUAAUAUAAGGUUACUGGAUUUACGGAGAAUGUUGUAUGCUUCACAACAAUAGGAUUUGAACCUUGUAUAAUAUUGGCUGCAAAAUGAAAAGCCAUUUAUGCACCCCUUAAUGUCUUGGCAAAGAAAUUAAAUUUCCUUGGUCAUGAACAAAUAUGGGCAUGCAUAAUCUAAUACUUAACCAGAAAGAGAUGGAAAGAAAGGGGGAGGGGGAGGAGAAGGAGGAAGAAAAUUACCUCUCUGCUCCACCCAUAGCUUCAACCAUUUCUUUGCAAAGUUUCAUUGGUGGUGGAAAUGGCUUAGGAUCUCGGCCAAGAAUAAAACCAAAAUCAACAUGGAAAAGGCGUCCAUCAUCCCUAAGCAGAAGGUUGUCAAGAUGUCUGCAACCCAUAAAAAUUUGUCUUCAGAAAUUGCAAACUAUAUGGGGAAAAUCUAUGGCUAAUAUUAGAUGCCAAUCUGGAACAAUUUGCCAAAAAGAAAAAAGCAAUGUGCAUAGGAACUAUAUGAAUAUAUAGAUGAAUAAAAGAUCACCUGUCUCCAAUUCCAAGAAUAUAUGUGAUAACAGAGUAGCCAGCACAACUUUUUAUGAAGGUUUCAAGACAAGUGGCUGUAAUCCCAAACGGUCCGUGUUCAUCAGGAUGAAAUUUCUGUAGAUAGCUUAUAAUGCUACGAUGAUCUGAAAGAAUCUGCACAAGGAAAGAAAUACAUUCAAAAAGUCCUUAGCAAGAUCAGAACCAUUAUGAACACUAUGAUAAACUCAAGAGAGAGUAUUAUAAUUCACAAAGUCUGUGUGUCAGGGUCCUAAAAGGGAGCUUGAAACUCCACAAUGACUGUACUAGAGUUAGAAUUGCGUAUUUAAGCAUUCGCACCAUUUGAAUCUGUGAGCUUUGCAGACAGAACUAUAGGGCCCAAUUGGUUGAAGCAAACAAUACCUUGCAUUUUGUCUCAACCAUGACACUAGGCCUACGGAAAAUCUAUAGAGCAUGCAUGUAUAGAAAACAAAAACAAAGCUUUGCAGCUAAACUUGUAGAAAACAAAAGGAUUUAAUGAUUCUGUGUCUGCACUUCCCUCAUUGGAGAAGCAUCUUUUCUAGAGUAUAUACCUGUGCCAAAGAACGGGAUGGUAUGAAUUCGAGCAUGCCCUCAUCUUGUCCAGUUGCCAGCACCUUAUAUGGAGUUAAGUGAAGAUCAAGAUUUUCUAACUUUAGUAAUCUAUCCAUAAGUGACACCAUUUGGACAACCUACAGGAACCACAUGAGUUACAUUAACCACAUGAAGGAUUUUCUCCACCUUUUCUGAGCUUUCUACUAGAAUUUUUUAUCAAUUACCAAUUGAUCUUGCCGAAUAUCAUCACCCUUUUUAAAUAUGACCUUACUUUGUCCACCAUUGGCUGUUCGGAAAGUUAGUCGCAAAGGAUGUAAUGCACUUUUGAAUAUUGACGACUCCGAAGGUACAAUUCCAGUGAUAAGGACACUAGGAGCCAAGGGUGAACGAAUUGGCUGAAAACAAGAUUGAAAUAUAAGUAAGGUAACUUUGUAAAACUAAGCAGACACCCUUAGAAGGUUAUUUAGUAUGGAAACUCAUGUCGAAGAAAUACCUCAUCAAAAUAAGUAAGUUCACUAAGAAGACCAGAAAGGAGCUGUCUAAGCUUUUCAAUCUUCUUUUGAGUAUUGCCACGCACAUUUCUCACGUCUCUCAUUAUAGAACACAACUGGGCUGUCAGUUCUGUCUGACGAACCAAGCUCUGCCACAUCUUAAAUCCAUCCUCUUCUCCAUUUACACCAGCUGUCAGCUGUAACAACAUGAGUGAUUAGAAAUCGCUGAAAGAGAACUCAAGCUCAUCAGUGUUGCAUGUUAUAAGGUAGAACUAAUGAUGGUAACAAUGUUAUUGUAACUUGCAUUUUUCAAUAUGCAAAUUAGAAACCAACUAUUUAUCAUGAUUGUAUAAACUAUUUCUAUUCCUAAACAGAAUAUUAAAUGGCAAUAGCAAUAAUAGAAAAUUGGAGCUCAUACCUUAAUCAUAUUUUCUUCUAGGAACUCGUAGGUAGAAUAAAACCGUUUUGCAUAGGCAGGAUCAUGAAGUUCCACAGCAACAAACCACCGUAGAAAACUAGCCAAUUCAAUAUUACGUAAAGCUGUAAAAGUUCAAGAAUACUUUCAGAUGCUAUUAUUAACUGAUUAAGAGUAUUAUUGAAGGUGAAUUUUUUGAUAACAAGUUAAAAUCCAAUUUAAUUACUUUCAACAGAUAAUUUUAAUCUAAUUAAGUAAAUGGUAAAUGGAUCUUUUACUCUCAAGAGUGGAGAAAUAUUAUAGAAUAAUUUUUAUGAAUCACUCUAACAAAAAAUAUUCAGCAAGAGGGGGGAAAUUCAAAAUGUUUAUCUCCAAUCUUUUAUCCCAAAUUCCUUAUCAAUAAGAGAAGGAAAAAACAAAGGAAGAUUUUUCCUUUGGAAAGAAAGUAUAGAGUUACAGAAUGAAAGGAGAGCAAAAGAAGGUUUGAGAGAAUGAGAGCAUUUGGCCGAAGAGUAUGAGAGAAAAGAAAGUUCUGCCGAAAACAUUUAUUGAGAGAAAGAAGACGUAGUAUAUAUUCUGUUUAAAGGAGAAGAAAAAGUAGCAAUUAAAAAUAAGUGUCAAUAGCUGUAUUUGAACACAAACAUGACAUUCACACAAGCAUAAAGGAACAUACAACGUUGCACAAGGAACUGAGAAAGGCGAGAUUUAUCAGUUCGUUCAAAUCGAAGUGCCUGAACUAGUUGAAGCAAGUAACAUUGAAGUUCUUCAUCAUCAGCCCUUUCAAGAACACUAACAGCAUAUGCACGAACCUGUUAAGAGGAUCAACAGUCAGUCAUUAUAGCAGGACUGAGAUGUUAUAGAUUAUCAAAUUCAAUCUACACUGUAGAAAAAAUGCUAUUAGGAUGAUAGAAUAAGAUAUUAUAGAGUAUCCAAUUCAACCUACACUUUUGGACAAAAUGAUACAAGGAUACUUCAGCUAGACUCUUUCCAGANNNNNNNNNNNNNNNNNNNNNNNNNNNNNNNNNNNNNNNNNNNNNNNNNNNNNNNNNNNNNNNNNNNNNNNNNNNNNNNNNNNNNNNNNUACUUUAAUAAUUAAGAAAGCUUGCAGGAAAUCACAUUGAAACAAUAAGAGGGGACAAAAUUAGUAAGAGAGCAGCAGCUUUAUAAUGUAUAAAGACCAAGCAUAUAGGAGAAAGGAUACAUCACGGAAAAAAGGUCAAACUCACUUCAAAUAUUUAAAAGGAAACUAAGGCUAUGUUUGAUAAACUGAAAAAUUAAGUGUUGAAAAAAUAAGUACUGAAAAUUUAAUUGUUGAAUUUAAGUUAUAAAAUAUGUUUGAAAUUUUAUUUAAAAUUAAAUAUUAAAUAUAAUUAGAUUGUUUGAUAAAGGAUAAUAUAAUCUUAAAUGAAGUAAAAUAAAAUAACCAUUGAAUUUAUUCUCUAUUAAGUGAUAAGUAGGUCCCCGUCUACUUAUCAUUUUCUACACUUGUAGAAAAAAUUCUAUCCGGUAGUUUUUAUUGUAAGUUAUUAAACGUGUUUAAAAAAUUAAAUUGCUGAAAAUAUUAAUUUUCAGUUGAUUAAAUUUUUUCAACACUUUAUCAAACAGGGCCUAAGUUGGCGAGAAACCAACUCAAGUGUGAUACAUAUCAAGAGUAAUUUAAGACAUUUAAUUAUAAUAACAGGUUAAAAAAGCAACCUAAGAUCUAAGGGAAUCUUACACGGUUUCUGAUUAUUACAGAGGUUCCAAAAGGUAUGCCUACAAAGUAUCAGGCAAACCUUACUUAGACCUACCUCUUCACUCUCAAAAAGUGGAGAUAGAAGCUCCAAUGCAUCACAGACAUCAAUCAUUUCCCACUUGCCCAUAAGCUCAAUUGCCUGCUUUGCUUCCUGCAGACAUAGGGACCACUCUCUUCAUACAUAAACAUUUUAGUUUAAUUAGAACAGUUUCUAUCUUCUUCUUUUUUCCGAAACGAUAUCAAAAGAAAAAACAGUAGGUGGAGAAAAGCAGCAAAGGCACAAAAGGUUACCAGUUCAGACCAGCAAAUCUGAGCUAAUGUGCAUUAAUGCCUACCAAUUACAGAAACAGACCCUUUUAUGAAUAUCAUAUCACACAGAACGAGUUUCUUUCUUCUUCAGUCCUUAGCUAACAUCUUUCUAUAAUUUCACAGAACUAGAUGGUUUAAAAGUGAUAAAACAGAUCAAAAACAGAAUUCUUAUAAUAUGAACAUAUUCAAGGUAGACUCUAUGGCACACCAUUUAUGCUCUAGUAUUGGAUAAAAUAACAUGAUAGAAUCAGAAGAUGCAGCCAUGAUGAAUUAGAAGAAAUUGAUGGGGAACAAAAGAGAGAAGUUUAAGGCAGAAGAGAUGCAAGAAUAAUCAAGGAGCAGUAUUCAUGCAAGAGACCAGAUGCUGGAAUUCACAAGAAAAGCAAGAACAAAAAAGAAAUGCAAACCUGAACAUCACUCCAUUCAACACAUCGAAGAAAUUUUGUGAGGGCCCUCUUCUCAGACAUCAAUGAGAAGCGAAAUUUCCAAAGAAGCUGCCUCUCAUCUCCACUCAAGGCCCUUGUAGGAGGAUAUUUCAAAAUUCUUUGUAUUGACCUUACAAUUAAAGACAAAUACACAAUAUCAAAGAAAGACUCAGAAAAGUACAUAUUGUAGGAAUAACAGAACCAUCCAUGAGAAUCUCCAAGGAGUGUCAAUCCACAACCAAAUUUCAGCAAACACUUGGUACAGAACUAUAAACUUCCAUGCAGAGUCAGAUGAUUUGAUGUAGCAAUCUACCUCAACCAGAGUAUGCAUGUUAGAAAGAAAAAACCACGCUGACUGACAAAUGCAGAGGGUAGGAGAAGCUUUAAGUUGUUUUCAAACUUACUUUCGUUCAUUAGAGCUAGGCUUGAGGUCCCUGUCAAUAAUACCACGAGUUAAACUCCUUGCAAGCUUCAAUUGCUUGUGCUCAGAAGGGUUUAUCUUUCCCACUUCAGGGUCCCACACAGUGACCAGUUCAUUUGAUGAAGCUAUUGGAGAUGGUAAUAAGAAAUUGGCCCCUGAUUCCUGCACAACAAAACAAAGGUGGGACUAUUCUGAAUGCAAACCAUAAAUUCACCCAAAAAAAAGGGGUUAAUGCAGUUUCUUGUAUAUUAUGUUUGAAUAGAUGAAUUACAGAUAGUGGGUUUGGAUUUAGUUUGCAAUAUGAAUAAAUUGUCCAAAUAAAACGCACAUAAUAUGCACUAAUUGGUUAAGGUUCAAUAUGCCUACACAUUUGAAAGGGUAUCAGAAGAUGAAUCUAAGGUAUUCCAAACUCACUACUAAAUAGAGAACCAACAAAUUAAUGAAUUUGAAAAUAAUCAAGAAAAUCGUAUUUACAUCUGCCACUUAUACUAAAUUUGAUAUCAUAACUAUUCCUUUUAAGUUCUAGUUAAACAAACCCUUAAAGUAUUCAUUGAAAUAUAUUAUAGAAAUGGCCAGGGAUACCAUGAUAUGUUGAGACUUACCUGAAUAAGUAAGGAAAAAAUUGUUACAUGUCAAAUUUUAGCUUGAACUAAUACUAAAUCAUUUAAUGGUUAAUUGUAAUAACAAGAUUAAACAAUAUAUGAUUAGUAUGAGAAAGAAAAAAGAAAAUUAAGAAAAAAAGAAGAGCCAUGUGGUUCAAGCUAAGUGAACCCAUCAUGUUUACCAACAUGUGAUUUUUCCAUUAAAUUUCAAAUCAAGUCUGUUAAAGUAAAAAUGACAUACUAUUAGAGAGAGAAGGAAUAGAAAUUUAAACAAAAAUAAAAUUCCAUAAAGAAAAAAGACCAAAAAAAGGGAAAAGCUUCAAAAUUAAUGUUAAAAAACCUGUCACUUCUUAAACCAUAAGGGGCAUAUUGAUUUAUUCCGCCCUGAACUACAGAAUGGGUUUUAGCAAUUUAAACCCCCCCCCCAAAAAAAAUAAAAAAUAAAAUAAAACAAUAAUAAAUAAAUGAAAUAAAUCAUAUUGCAGCAAAUGUUAAGAUUAAACAAAAAGCCACUAGCAAGCAAAUUAUAUGAUGAUCAUGGAUCAGGAUCGUACCUGAAAAACAACUCGAUGUUCAAAACUACAGAAGUCAACAACUAAGUAUAAAUGGGAACUUCCAUUUUUCAAGCUUUCCCUAUCCUUGAUUUUUUCCAUAGCCUUGAAUGUGAGUCGAUCUAGCCAAUCAACAGGUUGAAUCUGUCCCCUUUCAUACUUAUUUGCAAGCUUUUCUAGACGCUCCAAUUCUCCACGCUCUUGCCUGGGGACCUAUAGUGGGAUAUAUUACCAUAUACAUUAAAAAUUGUAGCUAUAUAACCAAAUGCCAAACCAGAAACAUUAUGCACCAGCAACCAGAACCUUUCCAGGAGUACUUGUUGGAAACGAUCCAUCUGCUUGUUUCCCUAACCAGAGUCUAAGCUUCUGUUUCCCUGUUUUGAGUUGCAUUUUGUUGUUGAAUAGAAGAAUCGUAGCGCCACCAAUUAGCCCAUCAUCUUUUCCGCAUGACAGAUCCCAGACCUUAACAUUCCAGGAGAAUGGCAAUAAGUAAAAGGCCAAACCAGGUAAUGUAGUUAUAUUCUUAUUAAAAGAUAGAGGGAAAGGAAAGGCGCUAUAAAGCAUAAUAACAUUGUCUUAAGAAAUUCACAUAAUAGAGGCUAAAAUCUCCAUGCAAGCAAUAAUAUAAUUUACAAGUUUAAAUCUUGACCACUGCUAAAACAGUUAAAGUUAGGCAAUCUCUAUCUACCAUCUGUAUGAAAAUUACCAAAGAAAAUCUAAAUGUAGUGUAGUAAAUGUCCAUGUAACAUCUAAGGGGCAUUGCAGUUCAAUCUCCAGAGCAAAUAAUUCAUUUGUAGAAGCUAGCUUUUUUAUGGCUGUCUUUAGACCAAGAUAUAUUGGUGAUCAAUAAUUUAAAGCCUUUGAUAAAAUACGUGACUAGAUACAGUUUUUGAAGUCUCAUAAAGAAAAAGAAAACCAUAACAUCAAUGACAUUCUUGCUAAGAGAGAUACCAUCAAAGAUAUUUUAAACUAAAAGAGACACAACUAAGGUUUGCCAAACAUGCCUAGAAAGAACCAAAUAAGGAGGAAGUUGAUACAGUACAUGCCAUGAAGAUAACAUUCUUUGACUCGUUUCAUUCACACUCAUUUACAAACUCAUUACCAACCCACAAAAACAGAAUUCAACUUGAACACAACUAUGCAAUGAGAAUGCAAGAACAAUUUUUUUCUACUCACUGUCAAAGCAAGUUGUGAGUGUGCAGUCAAGUCUCGAUAUUUAGUACUCAAUGUUAUUAGUUCAUUCCAACAAUACAACGGUCCUGCAGACUCCAACCUGGUAUCAGAACAAUUUAUCAAUUCCCUAUCACUGGCAAAUUAUUUGAGAGGGGAAACACAUUGAAAACUUCGCACACGAGUAAAUAAAUCUUUUAAUUAGUUGAUUAAAGGAAAGGUUCAUAAAAACCUUGUUUUUGUUGGAAGACCAAACGGAGCACCGUCAAUGUACAAUGCACACUCCACAUAGAGUUCACCUUUCCUCUCCUCUGUAGUGGAAUCGGUCCCUGAAAAGCAAUCGAAACCGAGGAUAAACAAUCAUACCGAUCUUUAAAAAACUAGUUCCAGUUCUUUCAGAUUUUCAAAUUGAAGGUGAAAGAAAACUAGAAUUUCACUACGCUGCAGCGUAAAACUUCCAAACUUCUUAUACUAACUGUAGUAGUGAAAUUAUCAUCAAAACUGCUAGUAUAAUUGGGUGGCAAAGAUGGCUUACGAAGUGACAAGUUAAGAAAAAAGAAGAUUGAAAUCCGCAAUAGUAACUGAAUUUGGACUCAAACCUGAAUUAGGAGAAUUUGGGGAAGGCAAAGUCCCCUCCAAUCUGUCGACGCGAAAGGUAACGGGAAGGUUGAUAUCGCAAGACAAGAAGAAUCGAAAUUCGUUGCCACUCAUUAUAUCUUUUUUAGGGUUUCGAUUAGCUCUGAAUUUUCAGAAUUAAAUAGUAGGAAACUAAUAACAAACAAUGGAAUUUUCUAAAAGAAAAAAAGGUUUUUUCUAUCUCUCUUUCUUUUUCUGCCUGUAAGUCUAAGUUGCCAGCCAAAACGUGAUAAAGAAGAUAGAAGAGUUCGCGUAGAAGACGAUCCAACAGAAACUGAAAUUGGAUUUUUUUAUAAAUAAAAUAACAAUUACGGUAAAUUACACCCAAGUCACUAAACUAUUAGUAGGUUUACGUUUUAGUCAAUUAAUUUUAAAACGUUACAAAAUGGUCGUUAAAUUAUUUGAAAGUUUUUAUUUAAGUCACUAUUAUUCUAAUUUGAGUAGAGCUUCAUAGGAAGGUACUUAAACUAGAUGGUCUUCAUAGGAAGGUACUUAAACUAGAUGGUCUUAAGUGUCUAACAAUCAACUCAACACCAAAAAAAAAAUAUGAACUUUUUUAUGAGUUAUCGUGCGAUAAUAUCAAUGAGUAAAAUGCAUGACUAAUUGUCUUUUUAAAGGAAGUAUUCUUACUGAACCAACAUAGAAACCACCGACACAGGUGUAAGUCUUGUUUGGGGACCUUUUUCCACUUAAUAUUUUAAAAAAAUAUGCAAGGUCUUUUUUUUUAUUUCUUUCAUGAAUGAUUGAAAAUGCAAACAAGUACAACCAACAUUCUUCUCCUAACUAUAGGACAUGCUUUUAUCAUAUAUGCAUGAAUAUACUUUUCAAUUUAUCAACAUCUAAUUAUUUAUAAUAUUUAACAUAUCAUAAUCAUAAAUAGAUAAUAAAUCGACUCUGACCAACUAAAAGUUUUCAUAGUUUCAUCUUAGGGGAAAGAUAAGAUAAUUAAAAAGUAAAAUAAUUUUCUCAAAACAUUCUUUGGGUCUUUUGGGUGAAAGCCAAACAUACAUAUUUUUUCCCAAAAAGAACUUGUCAGCCAAAACCAAAUCUUGAAUAUAGAACCAAAGUCACCGUCGCCACUGUCAGCCACAAUCAUCGUCAAUCACCACAAACGAUUUCCCUAGGAAGCCCGUGUUCCAGUUGUUGUUUCCCUUAUCUCGACUAUCAUGCCUUCACCACUGCCGACACUAGCACAUUGGUCUAAUGCUUCUCCCGAUCACAACAUUUCACCUGCAUGCGUCAUGCACACCUCGCCUGGUCGGCUAGGUGGUAUCGGUUGUUGAUCUUAUGUAGCCUUCACACGCAAGGGGAGAAUCCCCUAGGUGAUAUGAGCCUUUCAACUGGCUUUGAGUGUAAAGCCUCUAGCAUGUUCGAUGGUAAUCAACAAUUAUCAAUUGGUAGGGGUCCGAGGCCCUAAUCAGUUGUUUGUUAUAUCGGGGCUUGGUUGGGCAUGAUGCUUGGCAACUGCCAUGCGCUUGUCGUGGUGAAAAGAUUCGGCCCCUUACUCAUUACAACAUCUGCUAUGGCACGAUGCCUCGACUGUUGCUCAAUCACACAUGUAACUAAGGCACGAUGCCUUGGCAGCUACUCAAUCAUGCGUAUAACUAGGACGUGAUGCCCUGACAUCUCUUGUCAUGCAACACCCCACACUGACCCGAUCGUCAGAUCGGAGACAUGAAAUGUCACAUUCGUUUCCAAAGCAACUACGCUUUUAUUUCAAUGUUUUAUGAACAAAUCAAUGCAAGCCAUUAGUGUAACAGCCCAGUUUUAGCUAAAUUGAAACAAUGGUUUCGAAACCAUAAAUAUAAGGUCGUAAAAUUUAUUUUAUUAUUAUUUUAAUAUUUACAACAUGAUAUUAGAGUUGUGUGAAAUUUUCGUAAAGAAAUUUUAUUGUUUAAUUAUUUAAUUCGAUAAAAAGGACUAAAUCGCGUAAAGCAUAAAAGUUGAGUUCUAAUAGCUAAAGUUAUUAAAUAGCUAUAGGGAUUUAAAGUGGAAGUCCUUAUAUGGUAAUUAGACCAUUAAUGUUGAUAGUGGAAUGUGAUGGCUUGGCAUUUGUGUAAAUUUUAAAUGUUUUAAAGGUUAUAAAAGUAAAUUAAUUAGUAAUGAUAAAUUAAGUAACAUAAAGUAAAGGUAUCAUUUUUUCUUCUUCAUUUUCAACCGGAUUUUAGGGCAAGAAAAGCCAUUUGAGAGCUUUUACAUUCGGAAACUAUUUCCUAGCUUGUGUGGUAUGUAUUUUUGUCCCAUUUUUUUUUUAUAAUUUCUACGUUUUUGAGAUUGUUGCUUCGUAAUCUAGCUAGCCCGUACCUCCGAUUUCGAAACUGUUAAAGAUUUUGAUAGUUGUAAUUAUUGAAUACAUGUGUUAAUUGAUGUUUGAUGAUGAAUUAUGAAAUUUUGAUGAUAGUUUUACAUGUUUGGUAAAGUAAUUUUGAGUAAAAAUGUCAAUUUUGGACUAAAUUGAGAAAAAUGAUAAAUCGUGUGGUAAAAUUGUGAAUAAAUUAAAAAUGUGGGCUGUUAUGGAAAUUAUAAAAAUUUGGCUAGCUUGGGUUUGUGUUUAAUUUCAUGAAAUUGUGAUUUUUUGUGAUAAGGAUUAAAUUGCAAAAAUGUGAAAGUAUAGGGGAAAAAGUGUAAAAUUUCCCUAAUGAGUAAAUUAUGUUAAAUUGAUUGAAUUAGUGAUUAAAUAAGUAAAUUUUGUUAUUAUAUAGAUUGAGAAAAAACAAGAUUUGGACCUAGAAACAAGGGAAAAUCAAAGUAUCGAAUUAGUCGACCUAAAUUCGUCGGUUCAACAAAUGAGGUAAGUUCGUAUAUUUAAUAAGCAUUAAAUUAUACAUGUUUAAAUUCUUAAUUGAGAUCACUAUGGUGAAUGCUUAAAUAUUGAAUUUAAUUGUGAUUACAAUACUUUGGAAAUGUUCGACGGAGAUUCGACAAAGUAAAAGUCCCGGUUGAACUUUAGGAAUAGAUGGGAUACAAAUGUCAUGACAAUAGGGUUACCGAGAUUACGUGUAAGACCAUAUCUGGGAUAUGGCAUCAAUAUGAGACUUCGUGUAAGACCAUGUUUGGGACAUUGGCAUCGGUAUGUGAUUUCGUGUAAGACCAUGGCUGGGCUAUUGGCAUUGAUACGAGAUUACAUGUAAGACCAUAUCUGGGAUAUGGCAUUGUUACGGUACUAUGUGUUCGAGAUCCCCGAGUAUCCUUUAGUAUUCCAAAUGGUUCAACGGGAAAAGUGGAUGAAACAUGGUUAUAAGUGAUGGUACAACGAAAACAAAGUAUUCGUGACAGAAAUCAACAAGUAAGAGAAAGUUGAGAAUGGAAGUAUGAUAGAGUUAAGCAAGACAGGUACGUACAUAACCUAUGUGAGAAUUGAAUGAAAGUGAAUUGGUGAGUUCAUACCGUAUCAUGUAUUUGAAAUGAGAAAGAUAAGUGUUUAAAUAUGUUGUAUACCAAAAUGUGCUCAUUUGGCUAUAUGGAAGUAUGAAUUGAAUGUUAUAUAAGAAUUAAAUUGAUUAAACUUGUGAAAGCUAAGGUUAGCUAUGUAAAUGAUUAUAUGAUUGAGAAUGAAAUCAAAUCUGAUCGAUGUGAAUUACAUAGAUGAAAUAUGAUAUGUGUUAUGAGGAUGUAUGGAACUGGAAACGAAAUUUUAUGAAAUGUAUGAAAGAAAUCAUGAAAGAGUAAAAUUUGCAGUAAAAUAGUUUUGGACAGCAGUAGUUGUAUAAAUUUGAAAAAUCACUAAAAAUUGUGGGAAUCACAUUAGAGGUUGAAUAAGACAUGAAAUUAAAGCUUAUUGAUUCUAGUUUCACAUAGAAGAAAUGGUGUAAGCCAAAGAAUCUCUUAUUAUGAGAUAUUUGAAUUUUUGUGAGAUAAGGUCAGAAUGAUUUGGGAAUCCAUAGUUUUGACUUUGGAAAAUCAUUAAAAAUUGUACAAAAAUAAUUACGGGUUAGAAUUUAUAUGAUUAAAAUUCUAAUGAGUCUAUUUUCAAUAGAAAGAAAUAAGAAUAUCAUCCGAAUCCCGUACUAAGAGAUAAUUAAUUUUUAGAGAAGAAGGGUCGAAACUGUCAGACAAUAGAAUAGGGACGACUUUGAAGAAUUAACUCUACUUAUUGACUAAACCAAAAAUUCAAAAAAUUUUAUGGUAAGAAGAUAUGUGAGUCUAGUUUCAAGAAAACCAAGCAGAUCUUAAUUUGGAGUUCCGUAGUAUAAGAUAUAAAUAAUUUAGUGACUAUGACUCGAGUAGGCAGCUUGAUGUGAACAUGAGGAAAUACUGAAACUAUGUGCAAUUUUGAUUGUAUUGUCUUGAGAACAUGUUGUGAGGAUUGGUAAAAAUAGGUUAACAGAUUGCUUAGUAUUUACAUAUCAACUUACUAAGCUUAUAGCUUACUUUGUGUUAUUUUUCUAUGUUUAUUGUGUUCCAAAGGCUCGCUCGGGUUGGAAAUCGUCAAAUAUCCCAUCACACUAUCCAGCUAUAGUUUCGGUACUUAAAAGGUUUGAAAUUUUUAUUAUGUGGCAUGUAUAGGCUAGUUGGUUUGCUAAUUGUAUAAGUGAUUUUGGCUAUUGGUGCCUAUAUGUUUGAAAUUUAUUAAGCCAUGAGAUUUGGCUUCUUUAUAAUGUAAGGUUUGAUAUGUAGAUGACCUUAUAAUUGGAAUGUGAUUGUGGUUAUGUGGUAAGCUUUAGUAAAGUUAUUGAUGCAUUAGUGGAAAUGUUCAAAAUUGAUAUUCACGAUUGAUGAAUAAUGGUAUAUUAUGUGCUUGUGUAGGGUUGACACUUAUGGUUGGCGAAUUGGCCUUGCAAAUGGCCUAUAUUCGUUCUCGCGGCUGUUCACACGAGCGUGAGACGUCUGCUACUUAGAAAAUUCUUAAAGUUUUAGAAAUUUUUAUGUGUAACCAAUUUAGUCCCGAACCAUCUUAAAAGCAUGUUUUAGAUCUCGUGGACCUAUUUAAGGGACAAUGUGAUUAUGAAUGAAUGUGAUAUGAUGAUACAUGAUCAAUGUAUAUGAAAUGUUUGUAUAAUGAUGUGAAUUGUUCGGUAAUGCCUCUUAACCCUAGUUCGAUGACAGAUACAAGUUAAGGGUGUUACAUUUAUUGGUAUCAAAGCUACAAUUUAGUCGAUUAUAGGACUAACGUAGCAUAUGUGAGUCUAGCUAUACAUGCCAGCUGUGAUAGUGUGAUAUCUCCCGAUUCUGACAAGAAUUGUUUUAAUUAGAUAGAUGUGUUUUCCAACCUAACUAAUUCCAAUAGUGCAGAAAGUGGUACUCAAAUAUUUGAAUGGAAAUGUGAUUAUGAUGAGUUGAAAUUCAUAAAGGUAUGAAUGAGAGUGCAUGGUAUUUUUUAUUGAUAAAUGUUAUGUUAUGUGCAUGUAUAUGUGAGAGUUAAAUUUGAGGCUUUACGACCCUCACCCCUCAUUAGUAAAGUGUUACAAUGAAAUCUGUAAGAUUUAGAUUGAAUAUGCUCACAAGUGUGGAAUUACAGAGUUUCGAAAUUGAAGGAUUAAUAUGGUGAUCAGAUAAGAGAAUGAGUCAGCAAGUAAAGACAGUACAGAAGAGAUAGUGGAUUGUUUUGAAGGCCAUUCGGAUUAUGCAAAGCCAUUGUUAAAGAAGAAGUUGAAUUCGAUGAAACAAAAUAUUCAGGUAUGAUAUCUAAAGAAUAUAUUGACUGGAAGCUCUUCUGAAUUGAUUUAUGUUAAUGUUGGGAUAAUAAGAAAUCAGUAAUGUCAGAGAUAAACAGUGGAAUAACGUUUGAAUUGUAAAGAUAGUUGAGUACAUCAGUUAUAGUUGAAUAGUUUACGACGAUUUCUUCUAGGUACUCUAUGUGUUUGUCUACUUUCAGAGGUAUAUGUGGCUGAAUAUCUUCAAAUGAAUUUCUUAUCGUAUGAUUCGUAAAAAAAAAAAGGAAAUUCUUAUCGUAUGAGAACAUUAGCUAAAUAUACUAAUAGACGAAAGCAUUGUUGGUCUGUUUGGGUUAUGUUCGAUUGCUCUAUCUUUCAUUGGUAUUCCAUUUCUUUUUGUUAAAGAAAAAUUGAUGAUAGAAUCUGUGUGAUGAUAGUAUUUUGUUCCUACUGGUUAUUGUUUUGUUGAAUAUACAUGAAGAUUAUAUUGCUUCUGUCACAGUUGAUUUCAGUGCUUAUGAGUGAUGUUUUCUUUUGGAUUUUUUUUCUCUGGGAUAUCAUCGAAAAAAAAGUUCAUCUGAUAUGGAUUGUGUUUUUUAAAAUUUAGUAAAGUUCUACAUAUUAGAUUUUGAUAUCUCGGUUUUUUUCUAUGAUUAUAAAUUCUGGUUUGAUUAUGGGAGUACAGUGGUAUAGAUCUAAGAUUUACAGAUAUUGUGUUUCUACACUGAUUGUAUUUGGAACUAUAUUUGAUUUUCCUUUUUGCUUCAUAAUGCAUUACUGAUAAUUGAGAUAUUAACUAUUUAUACGUACGAGGUGGCUUCAGUAUAGUUCAAUGCUUCGUUGAUUAAUGGUUGAGAUAUCUUCAUUAUAUAAUCAUUUCUAGUUUUCUUGAAAGGGAAUUGACAUCGACAAAAGCAUAAACGAUAGAAGAUCAAGUUCAAAUAUGUAUAAUGGUUAUCAUUUCCAUGUAAAUCUUGAUAUCUGUCAAUGAGCAAAGACGGAAUGUUAUGUUUGAAUUAUGCAGUUUUUAAAGAUCUUUGAUUAGAACCCUGAAGAAAUUGUGACAAAUUGUAUGUCUGAGUUAUCUUGAUAACAAGAAUAAAGGUUCUCUUUGAAAAGUUAUUGUUUGACAUCCAGGAUCGAUUCAGUUGUUUAGCUUGAUGAGAUUACUUACUUGAAGGGUUAAUUAAUUUAUAUGUGUUUGAGUUUAUCAUCGGGUUUGAAAAUAAAUUUUGAUCGUUCUCAAGUAAAUAGAUGAAUAGUCUGAAUGCAGAAUUCAUAUUCUAGAAGACAUGAUACAGAAUUAUAUCCAUUGGAUUAGUUUUAAAUCAGAUAUGUGAUUGUAAAUGAAAGUUGUUUUGUUUGUAAAUUGUGUAGUUGAGAGCAUUGUUAACUGAACCAUCAGUUCUAUUUGAAUCAGUUAAAGCUGCAUGAAAAGAGUUUUUCAACAUGUGAAUUGGAAAUGGUUGACAUUGUAUUUGUGCUGAAUAGUUAGCGACAUAAAUUGACUGGUGAAUAAUGUAACUUAUUUGAUGUUAUAGAAAGAUCUGAAAUUUGGGUUAUCAAAGAUAGCUUGAAAUGUCGGAAGAGUUUAGAGAUAUUAAUUGAUUUUCAUCCAGGGAAAACAAUUACAAUCAUGUAUAUUCUGAGCAGGAAACCUUUGUGUGCCUUACGAGCGAUGAUUACGUGAUUGAUCUUAUCGAAUGAUGAAUAGUUGUUAGUUGAGUUAGAAGCUAAAUUAGUGUUUAUUCGGUGAAUUUGUGAAGCUAAAAAAUGUGUCAACGACUUCUGAUUCAGAAUUUUAGAUGUGGAAUCGAUGAUUACUUGUUGUUUCGAGAUAGAGUGCUUAUACCGAAGAGUUCAGAGAUUGUAUAAUAAUUAUUACAGGUGGCUCACAGUGGCAGUUAGUCUGUUCAUACGGGAGUAAUAAUAUGUAUAAUGAUUUGAGACAGUUAUGCGGUUAAAUGAGUAUGAAAUGUGAUAUUUUUGACUUUGUAACCAAAUGCUUGAGUUAUCAACAAUUAAAAUUGAUUAUUAAGUGUCUUCGGGACUGUUAUAGCAUGUGUUGACAUCAGAGUAGUAAUGAAAUAGAGUUUUGAUAAAAUUUUGUAUCGGGAUUAUUCUUAUCAUCGAAAAAGAUAGAUGUUAUCUGAACUAUUGUUGAUGUUUGAGGAAGUCUAUAUAUUUUAUCUCCAUAUGUACGGCUUUCUCUCUUGAUAGACUAGAAAAAUUAUAUAUUUCUUAGAUUGUCAGUUUGCACAGGGUGCCAGUCUUUAUUGUUUCGAAUAGAGAUCCGAAGUCUAUAUAGUGAUUCUGGGAGAAAGUACAGUAAGUUUUGGGUAUGAGGUUGCAUUGUAAUAUCGUAAUUCAUCAUUAAAAGAAUAGCUAAACAGAGAAAGUGAUUCGGGUUCUUGAAAGUAUGAUUUGUCACUGUGUUUUAGAGUUUGGAAGCCACUAAGAACGACUAGUACUAUUGGUUAAGUUAUCAUGUGAGUAUAAAGAUGACAUUGUAUGAGGUAUUGUAUGAUUGCAGUUACCGAAAUCCGUUGUACUGGAUCAAACUUUGUAAGAAAAAGAUUAACAGGAUUAAUUUCAUCAGAGAUAUUGAAGAGAAAGUGAAAGUAAUUUGUAACAGCUAGAAAGCCGUUUCACAUGGACAGAAAACUUAUGCAGACUUGAUACGUAAAAGUAUUGAAUUUUAGUUAAUGGAUUGAGUGUUCAUGAAAUUAUUACUGUGGGAAUAGAACUUCUAGACUUAACUAUAAAGAGAAGUUAGUUUUGUGAUUAUUUGGGCUGUAUGAAAUUAUAAAAAAGGUAAGAUCAAUGACUUCUUUAACUAACUUGGGAAGGUUCAUAUUGUACUAUAUGUAUCAAUGCUGCGACGGUAAAAAUCAAACUUUCCGCAUAAAAUUUUUUCGACCGAGAUUAAGAAACAAUCCGUUAUGUCAUAGAGUAAAGUACAGAUCAGAAUCUUAGUUCGAAAGAUUAAGGAAUUAUGAAAUUCGAAGCUAUGUGAGAAUUUGAAAGUAUUAUGUGAAAGCAAAUUUUUAAUCUAUUUGCUGGUAAGAUUUUCGGGACGAAAAUCUCUAAGGGGGAGAGUUGUAAUGGCCCGGUUUUAGCUAAAUCGAAACAAUGGUUUUGGAACCACAAAUCCCAGGUCAUAAAAUUUAUUUUAUUAUUUUAAUAUUUACAGCAUGAUAUUAGAGUUGUGUGAAAUUUUCGUAAAGAAAUUUUAUCGUUUAAUUAUUUAAUUCGGUAAAAAGGACUAAAUCGCUUAAGCGUAAAAUUUGAGUUCUAAUAGCUAAAGGUAUUAAAUAGCUAUAGGGCUUUAAAGUUGAAUUCCUUAUAUGGUAAUUAGACAAUUAAUGUUGAUAGUGGAAUGUGAUGGCUUGGCAUUUGUGUAAAUUUUAAAUGUUUUAAAGGAUAUAAAAGUAAAUUAAUUAAUAAUGAUAAAUUAAGUAAAAUAAAGUAAAGGUAUCAUCUUUUCUUCUCCCUCUUCAAUCGAAUUUUAGGGCAAGAAAAGCCAUUUGAGAGCUUUUACAUUCGGCAACUAUUUCCUAGCUUGUGUAGUAUGCAUUUUUGUCCUAUUUUUAAUAAUUUCUACGUUUUUGAGAAUUAACUGUACUUAUUGGCUAAACCAAAAAUUCUAAAAAAUUUAUGGUAAGAAGAUAUGUGAGUUUAGUUUCGGGAAAAUCAAGCAGAUCUUAAUUUGGAGUUCCAUAGCACAAGAUAUAAAUAAUUUAGUGACUAUGAGUCGAGGAGACAGCUUGAUUUGAAAAUGAGUAAAUACUGGAACUAUUUGCAAUUUUGAUUGUAUUAUAUUAAGAACAUGUUGUGAGGAUUGGUAAAAGCAGGUUAACAGAUUGGUUAUUAUUUACAUAUCAACUUAGUAAGCUUUAUAGCUUACUUUGUGUUAUUUUUCUAUGUUUAUAGUGUUCCGAAGGCUCGCUCGGGUUGGAAAUCGUCAGAGAUCCCAUCACACUAUCCAACUAUAGUUUCGGUACUUAAAAGGUUUGAAAUUUUUGUUAUGUGGCAUGUAUAGGCUAGUUGGUUUGUUAAGUGUAUAAGUGAUUUUGGCUAUUGGUGCCUAUAUGUUUGAAAUGUAUUGAGCCAUGAGAUUUGACUUGUUUAUAAUGUGAGGUUUGAUAUGUAGAUGGCCCUAUAAUUGGAAUGUGAUUUUGGUUAUGUGGUAAGCUUUACUAAAGUUAUUGAUGCAUUAGUGGAAGUGUUCAAAAUUGAUAUUCACGAUUGAUGAAUAAUGGUAUAUUAUGUACUUGUGUAGGGUUGACACUUAUGGUUGGCGAAUUGGCCUUGCAAAUGGCUUAUAUUCAUCCACGCAGCUGUUCACACGGACGCGAGACGUCUGCUACUUAGAAAAUUCUUAAAGUUUUAGAAAUUUUUAUGUGUAACCAGUUUAGUCCCGAACCUUCUUAAAAGUAUAUUUUAGAUCUCAUAGACCUAUUUAAGGGACAAUGUGAUUAUGAAUGAAUUUAAUAUGAUGAUACAUGAUCAAUUUAUAUGAAAUGUUUGUAUAAUGAUGUGAAUUGUUCGGUAAUGCCUCUUAACCCUAGUCCGACGACGGAUAUGGGUUAAGGGUGUUGCAAUUAGGUUCUAAAACUUAAUUAUAAAACAUUAUUCUUCCAAAUCUGAGUUAGAAGUGAGCUUACGAAAGCUCUCAUACUAAUCUAAUGAUGGAUGAGGGAUUAAAAUGUAAAGAUUACAAAAGUCAAGAGUCAUGUUGCGAAAUUUAGGGUAGAAGUAUGAUGUCUUGACUUCAACCGAGGUGAGUUGUGACCUUAAGGAUAGGAGGGUAACAUCACAACUUCAGUAGAGGAAUGGUGCAACCUUGAGGACAGGGGAUUUGAUGUCGUGACCUUAGCAGGGGAAAAUCAUGACUAUAGAAAUAGAAGCUUUAUGUCGCGACACUGAUAGGGGAGUGUCCCAACUUUGAAUGAAAUUUUCCCUAAGUUUUAGUCCAUUUAUCUCAAUCUUGCCAAAUACAAUACUCAAAUUGUUUAUGUCACACCCAGUCCUCCUAAGGAUUCGAAUCUAAAGAAGAUUCGGGGAUUUAAUUGUAUAAAAAUAUAAAUUGGUAGGCACUACAUAGAUAUUUAGAAACUUAAGUAGCUAGUUGGGAAUGAUUGAAUUUUAGUUCUGGUUUAGUAGCUUGGAACUGGCUGGUUCCAUAGUGGGAGAUAGAAUGAUUAGGAAUGAGUGGUUGUAUUGGUUUGUGGAGAUAUAUAUGGUUGGUUCUAAUGAAGUAUAUAUAUAUGUGUGUUGAAACAUAAUUCUUCUCAAUUCUAUUUACCAAUUUGUCUCUCUUUAUAGUAUCGCCUUCUUCAUUCGCACCGAAGAAGAAGAGGAUAUAACUGAAGGAAACUUUGCAUGUUACAACCGUCAUAUGAAUUGAAGCUUGGAAGUAGAGAAAUUGGGGAAAUGGUAAGCUUCCUUACCUUUCUAUACUCAUGGAUUGAAGGAAAAAGUAACUUUCUAUAUAAUUAGGGAUUCUGGGUUUUUAAGGUUUGAACACCUUUAGUUUAACCAAUAAAUGGUUGUCAUGCUUAGCUACCAAGACGAAAGAGGCUCUGGCAUUUGGAUAAGCUAAGCUGAUGAGGAUAGAGGAAUCCAAGUGACUUUCUGAACUCUGCCUCAUGGUGGUCGUUGAUAAUUUUUGUAUGGUGGUCUGUGUCUGAUUUGUCUAAAGCUAUGGUUGUGAAUAGGAAAGGUUAAUGAUCAUGUUGAAUAAUGAAUGAUACCAUGUAAGUGUGUACACUUGAUGCUAAAAGUAGGCGACUCGUCUGAGUAAUCAGUAACGUACUAUAUGAUAUAAUGAUAAGUGUAAUGUCUUGAGCGAUAUGUUUAUAUAUAAUAUAUGCGGAGUAUAGGGGAAAAUUCCUUGAUCGGGUAGAUGAAGUUAGGAAUAAUUGGUGAAAAGAAGGAAUGGGCAGAUGGAUGGGAAAAUAGAAUUUUUGUUGGAUUCCACAAUUUAGUGUUGUUAUUUGCAAACAGUGAUGUGUGAAGCUCCGGGCCUUGCAGAGGGGAAACUGCGGUGUUUGAGCAUCAAGGUUAAAAAUGAGGCGAAAUGUUAUCGACUGGCUAGCUAGAGUGACACCGUGAAGUUGGUAAGGUCCUUCAUGGUGAGUUGUAAUGCCUCAAUUUUGGUAGGUUUAAACUUUUGGCGCUUAGUAGUAAAGGCUCUGUCUGGCGUAGUAAAAUCCGCCCAAAUAAUUAUUUGAAUAUACAUGUGGAUGUUUAGUAAUCGCCACAAGAGUAAGUAAGAAUUUGAUUUCUUGAUAUUUUGAUAUAUAUUUAGAAGAAGUCUGUGUUAAGUGGUUAAAAGUAUGUAACAGCUCACCCGACAAAGUCCUUGUAUCCGAUUAUUGUUUUAUGAGAUAUCAGCCAGACAGAUAAAUGAUUUUGAAAGGAGUAAUUUCCAAGAUGUAGUACACCAUGUUGUUAGAGUUACAAUGCUAGUUGCAUUGUAAGUAUAGUAGUUAGGGUCCCUUUGGUUAGGGUAACCGAAUAUUGUCUAUAUUGGAUUCUUAUUUAUAUUUCUUUAUAGUUGUAGACCAUUAACGUAAAUAUUUUGAAAUGGUGUGACACGUGUCAAGUUUCUAUGGGAACAUGGGUUUGCUGCCCUUAAGCCGAAACUAAAAGAUCUGAUCUAAAGUAUAAUAUUUUUUUGUAUUUUGGCGAGUAUUUCAGUUUUGUAGGUGGAAUCCUGAAGAGUAGGUUUGUUGAUUUUGGUUGAACAAUAAGUUAAAGAAUACCAAAGGGGGUUUUUUACAGGGUUGGUAAUGUUUGAGAAAAAUGGUUAAAUGUACGUGAAUGGGUUCUGGUGGCAUUUCUAUGUUCCUUGGACAGUGAUUGCAAGUCAAAAGGUUGGAUCUAUUGUUCCAACUGCUUUAGGUGAGGAUCGAAUGAGUUUCUACACUGACCUUUGCAUAUAUAUCUUGUUCAUACUCAAAUAUAUCUAUAUGAGAUUGAUCAAAAUGUGAAUAAAAAAUUUUAGACAGUAUAGAAACGACACUUAUACGACUAUUGAGAUUAAGUUAUGUUAGGAUUAAUAGUGUACUGGAGUGAUUGAACUUGAUGGUAUAUGUGUUGGAUAUGAGACAUGGUGAUUCUAAAUUUGUUAAGGAAUGGGUAUUGAGUUAAGGAAUAAGUAGUCUAGUUGAAUGUGAGUUCUUUUAUAUGGGUUCAUGUGAAUCUUUCAAAUAAAUAUUUAUGAUCUAAGUUCCAGAAAUAACGAAUGAGUGCAUGAAUGAUUGUUGAGGAUAGUAAGAACAUUUGAUAAGGAAUCUGAUGAGUCAAAGUAUGUGAAAAAUAGUGAAUGAGUGUUGUGUCAUUUAAUCAUGACUAUGUAUGUGUUUGUUUGGAAUGUAUACUGUGACAUGUGACAUUGUUGAUAUGGUUGAAUUAUGUAUUGAAGUAUAGCUUGGCUAAAGAAAUGAGUUAGUCAACCUAGAUGUGAAUUUAUACUCUGAUACUUGCAUGUAAAUUAUGGGUAUAGAUGAUUAAUUAACUAUAAAGCUUAAGUAUCAAUUAAAUGAGUAAAACAUAAGGUAAUUGCGCACGAGUAAAGUUAUUCUAUGCAGAAUUACAUGAAUGAAAAGUAGAAUGACGAGUAUGCAAGUAAGGUCUAAUAAAAAAAAGGUAUAAAUUAGACUUGUAGUUUGGUGAAAGGUUAGAUGAGCCUGAGUACAUGGGUAUUUGUGAUGAUGAAUUAUAUCAAUGUUUGUAUGAAUGUUUUUUGAGUAUAAAAUGUAUUUCUAAUAGUGAAUCUAAUAAGUUCAGGUAUUUACCAAUUUUGGUUUUAGUAUUAAAACAUUAAAGUAUGGUUGUUUUUAGUAACCUAAGAUGAUUGUGCUAGUUUGUUCAGUACAUGAAGUGAAUCUGGUUAGAAACUGAGCUCUAAUAUUAGUUGCGGACUUGAAGAUAUAUGUGACACAGAUUUAGCCUGGAUUGGUAAUCUGUUGUUGUUUUAAAGGUUUAGCCUAGACUGAUAAUCUUACAUGUAUGGUACCCUUUGAAAAGGAACUACGAAUGAAGAUUACCUAAUAGGGUUUUCUAUAUGUCCUAGGACAAUGAUAGGCAAACCUCACGGAAUGUGAGUUUAGGCAAAUCCAUAUCGUAAACACGUCAAAAAAAAGGAAUAUUUUCGUGGCAAUAUAUAAAAAGGAAUGCCUUUGUGGCAAAAUAUUAAAAUGAAUGCCUUUGUGGAAAAAUAUGAAAAUGAAUGCCUUCAUGGCAAUAUAUAAAAAAGAAUGCCUUUGUGGCAAUAUAUGAAUAGAAAUGCCUUUGUGGCAAACUCUGAAAGGAAUGUCUUUGUGGCAGACUUUGAAAGAAAUGCCUUUAUGGCGAACUCUGAAAGGAAUGCCUUUGUGGCAGACUUUAAAGGGAAUGCCUUUGUGGCAGACUUUAAAGGAAUGCCUUGAUGGCAUACUCUAUCUAAUAGCCCAUGUGGCGGGUUCUGUGUGACUCUUAUAACGUGUUCUACCAAGACUUUCUGGUAAGAUGUGCUUAUCCUCCUUUAUGGUAAGUUCUGGGUAAAUCCUGAUAAUUCUAUAUUAAUUACUGAUAAGAGAAGGUUAUGAUAUGUCCAAGUUCGUAAGUUGAAUAAGCCCAAAAAGGAGAUUUCUUGAAAGAAAUGUGUAUCUGUAUGCUAAAAAAGGUACCCACCAUGGUAAUUUUCCAGUGUUGAAUAUGAACGUGUUCGACUGUGAUAUGUAAUGGUUGAAUUAGAUUUAUCAAGAAUCUAUCAUAUCUAGGUUGUAUAAAGGCUUCUACUGAACUUGUAUGAAAUAUGAGUUUUGGUUAUCCUGAGUAUCUAGGGUCUUAAAAUAAAGGGGUGUGAAAUUUAUCUUAAUGAUUUAUGUAGUACAUUAUCAGCGUGGGUUGUGUGGAAUUGAACCAAGAUAUGAUUCAAUAAAUAGUUUGAUAUUAUCAUUUUUGCAUAAGUAUUCGUCAACAUGCAUGAGUAUCAACCUGCGAUAAAUAUCAACGAUUAGCUGUUUAAAAUAGGAAUAUGUGUUAAGACAUGGAUAGCUAGAAAUGUUUUCUAAAGGUAUGUUUCGUUAAGAAAGUAUUAAGAGAUAAGAGGUUUAUGAACCGAUAGAAAGGAUUCCUUAGUUUAUUAAAUACCAAAGACUAAGUAUGGCAAGGAUAUGAUGAUUGGUAUAUAUAUAAGAUUAAUAAAAUGAAAUGGUGCCAACUUAAGUGAAUGUUGUAGAGUAAUAGUAGACUCAUAGCAAUUCAUAAGAUUUGCAAAGUAUCUAUCAAAGGUUUGGUUAUAGAGCUCACUAAGUACUCUUGUUCUUACAAGGUUUGUUAUUUCAUUUCAGGUUUUAGGAAAGUUUGUGUAACAACCCUUUUUGCGGUGUCGAAAAUAGUGGUUUCGGGACCAUGAUUUCGAUGAGUGAGUUAAUAUUUUAAUGUUUAUUUAAAUGCUAUAGGAUUAUUUAGGGUUGUAUUAUAUUUCAUUAAGAAAUUUUAAUGUUUAGGUAGUUAAUUUAGUAAAAAAGGCUAAAUUGUAAAAGUACAAAAGUUGAAUUCUAUUAGCUAAAAGGGUUAAAUAGCUAUGAAAUUUUAAUUUAGUGGACUUAAAUGGUAAUUAAAACAUAUAUUAAGAUAGUGGAUUGUGAUGGAAAGGUUUUUAUGUGAUUUUAGUAGUUUUUAAAGGUUAGUUUAGUAAUUAAAUAAAUUAAGUUAAAAUUAAUUAAACACAGAUGAAACAAAAGUCAUCUUCAUCAUUUUCUUUUCUUUCUUGGCCGAACACCAUUGUUAAGAAGAAGGAAGCUUUCGGUUGUGGUUUUGCUCAUGCAUGGUAAGAUUUUGAGUCCUGUUUUUAUUGAUUUUUAUGUUUUUGAAUUCGUUUUAUCUUAACUUACUUAGCUCGGGGGUUAAUUUGCAAAAUUAUAAAAGGUUGAGAGACUUGCCAUGAUAGAGUUUAAGUGUGUUUUGAUGUUUAUUGAUAGAUUAUUAAUUUGGUUGUUAUAUGGACAAGUUUUGUUAAGUGAAUAUUAGUAAAUUUAGGGCUUAGGGAUUAAUUUGAUUAAAUGGCAAAUUGCUUAUAAAUUGUGUGAAUUAAGGAAAAAUAUGAGUUGAUAUAGGUAAAAGAAAAAAAUCAGUUAGCGUAUGUUGGAUCAAAAAAUGGUGAAUUUGCAAGUUAUGAUCUUAAGGAUUUAAUUGUAUAAAAGUUAAAAUGUUAGGGGUGAAUUUAUAAUUAAUAAAAAAUUGGGGUUAUAAGAUGGAAUUGGUUGUUUUACGCUAUUAGAAAUACUUAAUUGAAUAAAAUUCAUAUUUGGAUCAAGGUACUAAUCAACCGGACUUAGACUGAGGAAAAGCUAAAGUGAUGGAUUAGUUAUCGGCCUCGUUUUUGCAAUUGUUUUAUCGAGGUAAGUACGUAUAUUCUUUUUAAAAUGUUUCAAUUCAAUUGGUAAAAUUAGUGAUAGUUUUCUCAUAAUUUAAUUAUGUUUAAUGUGCGAAAAUUCUUAAAUUGUUAAAAGAAAAAGAUUGGAAUUGAAAUACAGUCGGUAUUACUGAAUUCUUGAAAAGGUUAUAUCCGAAAUGUAUAUAAAAUGAAAAGGUUAUAUCCGAAACAAAUAUUAAUUGAAAAGAUUAUAUCCGAAACGAAUAUCAAAAGAAAAGGUUAUAUCCAAAAUGAAUAUUAAUUGAAAAGGUUAUAUCUGAAACAGAUACCAAAUGAAAAUGAUAUAUCCGAAACGAAUAUUAAAUGAAAAGGUUAUAUCCGAAACAAAUAUUAAUUGAAAAGAUUAUAUCCGAAACGAAUAUCAAAAGAAAAGGUUAUAUCCGAAAUGAAUAUUAAUUGAAAAGGUUAUAUCUGAAACAAAUACCAAAUGAAAAUGUUAUAUCCGAAACGAAUAUUAAAUGAAAAGGUUAUAUCCAAAACGGGUAUCAAAUGAAAAAGUUAUAUCCAAAACGGAUGUCAAAUGAAAAGGUUCAAAAGGUUGUUACCCUAAAAGGGUUAACAUUUGAAAAUGUUUAUUGAAAAGGAUUUAUGGUGAGAACCAAUUAAGUAAGGUUUGUAUGAAAUUUUGAUUUGAUUAUGUAUUUAGUUACUAACUCGAGAUGUGGUGUGUAUAGAAAGAAUUGUACAUAUAGUGAUUGAAAUGCUUGAAUGGUUAAUCAUGAAAUCAUGUUUUCGAUAAGUUGAGUUCUUUUAAACAAACUUACUAAGCAUCGUUGCUUAUGCAUUGUUUUGCCUUAUUUUGUAGAUCAUCGGAGACUUGAUCGGUUGGAAUCUUGUCGAAGAUCUAUCACACUAUCCAACAAUCAUUUCGGUAGAUUUUGAGUUAUUUUGGUUGGUAUAAAAUGGCAUGUAUAAGGCUCUUGUGUAUGUUAUUUUGUUACCAUGAUAUGAUCAUAUCUUUUGUGUAAAUAGGUGAUGAGACUUUUAAUGUUUAGUAAGUAUGGAUCAUUUUGGUUACUUUUAUGUGUAAAUUAUCUCUAUGUUUGAAACUAUGUUCAUAUGAGGCUAUUAUGGUUGGAUAUUAGAUAUUUGAUGUUGGUUGAAGUUAUAAAACCAUGUUGUAUAGUUGCAUUAUUUGAAUGUGUAUAUUGUGGUACCAAUGAGGCUUGAAGAAGUUGUGUUGAAUAUUUAAGGUUGAAAAUUGGUAUGCUUGUGUCUCAAGAAAACAUUUUAGGUAAACUAGUGUUUUAAGGUACAUUUUGGUAAACACGACACACAGCCUAAUCGCACGACCAUGUGUCACACACGACCUGAUUGCAUGGCUGUGUGAUUUUAUUAUUAAUAGGUCUAGGUUUCACACGACCUACGACACGGCUGUGUGUCCCUAUUUCGAAUAUACACAUGGGCAGACACACGGCCGUGUGACUCCUGUUUGCAAAUAUUUAACUUUUUGCCAAAACUUCUGUUUCAUUUGAAAUUGUUCCCCGAUCAUUCUCAAAUUAUUUUUAGUGCCCUGAAUGCUCGGUUUAAGGCCCAAAUGUGUAAUAUUGCCAUGAUUAGAUUCAAUAAUUAGAUAUUAAUUUGUAAGUUGAAUUAUUAUUCUGUUUUGAGGUUAAAUAUUUUGUUUGUUUGGUAACGCUCCGUAAUCCCUAAUUCGGUGACGAAGACUGGUUAGGGGUGUUAUUGUCUGCACCUAGAGGGAUAACACUAGGAGUUUGCCAAGUUAGUGGUGAAGUGGGCUAUUAUGCAUACGGUGGAAUUUUGGCGUAGUAUUGGAAUACGCCUUUUUAAGUUUGUUUUGUUAAACUUCGUAUUAAAAGGUUUUAUAUCUAAAUUCAUAGGGUAAACUAUUGUAAGGUAUUAAUCUUUGUUCUCAUUUAUGAAGCAUUUCAACUGGAAGAUCACAGAAAAUUUUUUAAAGAAAUAAGAAAUAUUAAAAUAAUGUUGCUUUGUGGUUAAGUUUUACGUGGUAGAACCCAAAAUCCAGAUUCGAUAAAUCAGGUCAGGUUUAAGGAAUUACCUGAUACUUCAGAAGAGGUUUAAGGUGUAAGACCAUAGCUUGGCUAUCGCAACAUAGGGAGUCCAUCGGGAUAGUAAACACGGGGUAGUCCAUUGGGACAAUAAACAUGGGAGAGUCUGCCAGGACAUUAAACAUGGGGUUACAUGUGUAAGACCAUAGCUUGACUGUGGCAACAUAGAGAGCCUAUCGGGACAGUAAACACGGGGUAGUCUGCUGAGACAAUAAACAUUGGAGAGUUCGCUAGGAUAUUAAACAUGGGUUACAAGUGUAAGACCAUAGUUAUGCUAUGGCAGCAUGGGGAGUCUGCUGGGACAAUAAACACUGGGUAAUCCACCAAGAUGUAAAACAUGGGGUUACACAUGUGAAGUCCGCAGAUCAGUAUACUAGGGGACCCGCAAGAUAUAAAUUAGAAGUCUUGGUGUGACAUGUGUGACAAGUCACAGGAAAAAAUGAACUUGGUGCAUCUAGGAACAGAUACUAACGGGAUAAUAAGAGAAUUCACCAAAGACGAUGAUGAGUGGAGCCAAGGAAGCACCUUAACCCAGUUAUGUGUGAAAGAAGGGAGAGACGCCUUAGAUAAGGAGGUUAGCGUAAUGUAAAUAAAUAAAAGUUUGCUAGGGAAACAGUGAAUCCCAGAUUGUUUAAGAAAAUACAAUUUUAAUUUGUAAAUUAAUAAUAAGGUAGCUAAAAGAUUGGGUAGAUCGACUAAAAUCUUCGUAGGAGGAAAUGCCAGCUCAAGGCGGAACGAUCAAUAAGGUUUGCCAGAGAAUAGUGAAAAGUAGAAGUCUGUCAAGACCAUGAAACAUGGUAAGGAUGUUACUAUUCUACUAAGGGUGGAAACUUUACGGAAUACUUGAGUGAGAGAUAGUAUGUUGGGAGCUAUAUGUCUAAUGGAGCAUCUUAAAGGAAUGGAAUAAAAGAGUGGGGACUUUAGGGUUACAUUGUAAGCCCUAGUUCACCAAGGGAAAGAGGAUAUAAGGAAAAGAUCUUAUUUUGGUAAGGCCCCGCAGUUAUGGAAAAUACUUGGGUAAAUACAAAUCAUCUCCAAUCAAAAGAAAUGAAUACUUGGGUAAACUUAUGCAAAAUUGGUUGACUCGGAAGCUGUGUUUUGGAUUUUUUUCACUCCUCGAAACCUUGAGAUCUGAUGGUACCUGUACAUGGAAAUAGACAAACUGUACACUAUGUAAUAGAGCUUAAUGGUGCUAACAUGAUUUGAAUCAAUAAUCAAAUCAAAGUAAGGUAACAAAUUCAACCAUUAAGUGAUCAAAUCAUCAAAUAGUGUCAAGUAUACAUUUCAUUCCUCAUGUGCAUAAUCUCAUACCAUAUUUCAUUUAACAAACCAUAUAUGAACAUAUAAUUUCAUUAAUCAUCAUAUCACACUACAUGUGUGCCAAAAUAUAUCAUCAUGUACAUUUCUUUUCUCAUUUCCAUCUCGAAUCCACUAAUUCAUUUUAUAUCCAUAUCGGCCCUCAGGGUUCGUUCUAACUGGUUCGCAUGAUCUUUCACAUGCCAUCUUUUGUCACUUAGGUAUUUAUAUACAAGAUGCAUCAUUUUCUAUUAACUUUGCAUAUCAAAUAUCAUUUGGAAAGUGACCGCCUCUCGACAUGCGAACGUCGGGAGUGUAAAUUCAUGCAAAAAUAUAAAGAUAAGAGUUAAGUGCGAUUUCUGCAAGUGAACAGGUCAAAUUUUAAUAUGGUUUAAGUGUUACAACGAAACACUGGUAAGUAUUCUGAGGAUCAUACCCAAAGGGUUAUAGAUUGGAGAAAAUAAAUAUUAAAUCAAUUACCCAAAAUAAUUACUAAUCUAAUUAAUUCAAAAAUUAGUAGUGUCAAUUCAGUAUAAAAGAAAGAUAAUAAUUAAAUUAAACUAAAAACUACUCCUAGGUUAAACUAUCUAAUUUUUUUAUUCCUAGUUUUGACAAUGUGAGCUCUCUAGCCUAGAAUCUAUUGAAACCCUAAGUAUUAUCAAUUAUUACCCUUGAUUUAAGUACUUACCACCAUUAUUUAUGAAUACCCUCUCGGUCUUACCUAGGCAUAUGAAUACCCUCUCGGUCUCACCGCUUGGCACAAGUUUUACUGAGCAUGAUACCCUCUCGGUCUCACUUGUCUAUAUCUUCUACUAGGGGAAUCACUUCCUAGUGUAAUAAGUUCUCUUGAAUAAAUACUUAAUCUUAGAUGAUUAUUUACUUAGCCAAUUAAUCAGUUUAACAAUUGAAUCAUGUGAGAUAUUGAUGAAGCACAAGUUAUUCUAAUAUUUAUACAAAUAUUCGAUCAAUAAUAUCAAUGAAAGAGAUAUAAAUAAAAGAAUAGAGAAAAGAGAAUGCUCAUUAAUAGAUCGAUAAAAGUGUCGAUCUAGAACAAUCUUCGCUCGCAAUUGUCUCUACGUCGGAAUAGAAAUCUCCAAUUAAACGAACAUAAAAUAAACAAAGUAAAAGCUGAAAACUAAUAAAAAUGUAAAGAAUAAUUUGUCUCUCUAAAUUUGUGUGUCUAAUGUGUUGUACUAAGCAAUUACUUAUAGAUUUCAUGUAUUAUGACCUAAUUAGGUCAAGUAGAGAUGGCUAAACAUGUUAAUUUAGGUUGUGUAGAUGAAAACACCCUCGAUGAUAUUUCACCUCGUCGCAAUGGUGUCGUGACACCUUCAAGCCUGUGUCACUACAUCGAAGGUAGUAUACUAUUUUUGGCAUGUUCAGACCGGUGUCACGACAUCCUAUAGUGUGUGUUACGGCAUAACAGAAAGUAUGCUCCUUAGGUAGUCUAAAGGUGGUGUUGCGACAUCCAAGCUGGGUGUUGCAACAUCGGAGGUAGUCCACUAACUUUUUGGCUUGAAUUGAUGUCCAUCACACUUAAUGAACAUGCUAGUCUUCCUUUAGGCCUAGAUUGGCCUAGAUGGACAUAAAACACAUAAAAAUGUUCAUUUUAUUAACUUUAACUAGAAAAUUACUAAAACAAAAAACUAACUUAUAGCAAUGUUAAAUUACUUGAAAACAAGGUUAUUAAAUGUUGAAAGAACCUAAUUUGCCACCAUGAGUUGUGGCAGAUCAGCAAGGUAUAUGUUUUUUUAUCCCUAUUAACCAAAAACAGACUCAAGAAUGAUACACAGAUUAUCCUACCAUCAUACCAAUAUAUUUGGCAUUCAGUGCCUCUUUAACACCCCUACCUGACCCGAUCGUUGCAUCCUAGAUACGACAUGCCACAUUUGUUGCCAGAGCAACUACGAUCUCAUUAGAAAAUUAAUUAAACAAUUUAUACAUGCUAUUAUGCUCAAUAAAUAAUUACAAUAUGUUAUAUAAUCAAAUCUGACAUUUAAAUAAGCUUACGAAAGCUCCUUUAAUAAAUUAAGGUUGGUUAAGGACAAAAAUGUAACAUUUUCAAAGUUAUCGAAUUGGCGUCACGACGUAUAGAAUUUGAGAAAAUAGUGGGUGUCAUCGUGACAUCGGAGGUAUAUGGUCGUGAUGUCACUCUCUAUCUAUUUUAUUGUCGUGAUGUUAAAGGCGUGUCAUUUUCACAUUAUAACAAUUCGAGUGGUGUAAAAAAAGGUAGUUUCAGAACUCCAUUUUCGUAAACCAAGUCCGUAAACAUUAAGUAAGAAUAUUUAUAAAGUUGGUAUAAAAUUAUAUUGAUGUUUAGUCCAUCAAUUUCGUCUAUUGAAUAGUUAAUUUAGGUGUAGGGACUAAAUUGUAAAAGUCCAAUAGCUAGAGGUUUUUAAUCGGCCAAAAACUUAGGGACUUAAAUUAAAAUUAGGAAAAGGUUCAAAAUGGUAAAUAAACCAUUUGGUUACCUAAGAUGGUGGAUGAUGGUGUUAAUCUUCACUAUUAUGGCUAAUGGUAAUUAAGAUUUAGUUAAUUUAGGUUAAUUAAAGACUAAUCAAGUUAUAAAAGACACAUGAUAUUGGGAUAUUCCAUCUUCAUCAUUUUCUCCUAAUUGACCAAACAUAGAAAACCUAAGGAAAAUCCAUUUUUGAAGCCCAAACAUUCGACUAUAUAAUAGGUAGGCAAAUUCAAGUCCUUUUCUUGUAUAUAUUAUGUUUUUGAGGUCAUGGGAGCUUGAUUUACCAAGCCCAUGUACCAAUUUCAAAACCAUUGAAGUUUUUUAAAGUUUCCAUUGUUGAUUUCUUGAAUAUUUAGGCUUGAAAUUGAUAGAUUUUAAGCUUAGAUUAUAAAAAAGGACUAUAUUUGUAACAGCCCAAUUUUCAGUAGUGUCAGAACAAUGAUUUGAGAUCACUAAAUUCGAUGAAAAAGUUAGAAAUAUUUUUGAAUCAGUGAAUUUUGUGAUUUAAAAGAAAUUAUUAGGUAAAUUGGGUCAAAAACGAGGUAUCGAGACCUCGAUAUCAUAAACUGAGCCGUAAAUAUUUUUAUAAAUAUUUACAGAGUGUCAGUAGGAUAAUAUUAAAGUUUCGUUAAGAACUUUUAACGUUUCGAUAGUUAAUUAUGAAAAAGGAUUAAAUUGCAAUAGGGAUAAAAGUUUAAUUAUAGAUUAAAGAAAAGUUAAAAGGACCAAAUAGGCAAUUAUGCCUUUUUCCAAAGUUGAGGCGGCAUAAGUAUAAAAAUCUGAGAUUUUUAUGUGUUAAAAAAAUAUUAUAAUAUUAUAGUAAUGAUUAUGUUUUUAUAUUAUAUUAUUAUUAAUAUAUUAUAUUAUAUUAUAUAUAUAUAUAUAUAUAUAUCAAAAGAAAGAAUAGAAAGGAGAAAGAAAGAAACAGAGAGCAAAACGAAACAGAGAAGGGAGAAAGAAGAAAAAGAAAGAGAGCGACGGUUCAGGGGUUUCAAAACUUCUAAAUUCAAUUGCUAAUGUCGUGCAAGAGUCAUUGUCCGAGAAAUGAAAGGAGAAGGUGGACAAGGAUUGACUCGAGAGAAAUUUCGGUUAGUAUUACUAUAAUUCAAAUUUAAUUAUUAAUUGUUAAAAUUUAAAUUAAUAUACAUGAAAAGCAAAUUGAGGUAAGAAUCAUGAUUGAAUUAAAUGAAAAAUACGUAUUGGUAUUGAAAUUAUAAAUAGCAAUUGUUGAAUUUUGAAUAAUAUGUUUAGUAAAUAAAAAUAAGGUGAAUAUUGAAAUUGAAUUGUAUGUGAAUUGAAUGGAAAUUACUAGUGAUAUGAUUUGAAUUAAAAGAAUUAAUGCGAUAUUGAAUUGUAUGUUGAUUGAAAAGUAAUUAGUGAUUUNNNNNNNNNNNNNNNNNNNNNNNNNNNNNNNNNNNNNNNNNNNNNNNNNNNNNNNNNNNNNNNNNNNNNNNNNNNNNNNNNNNNNNNNNNNNNNNNNNNNNNNNNNNNNNNNNNNNNNNNNNNNNNNNNNNNNNNNNNNNNNNNNNNNNNNNNNNNNNNNNNNNNNNNNNNNNNNNNNNNNNNNNNNNNNNNNNNNNNNNNNNNNNNNNNNNNNNNNNNNNNNNNNNNNNNNNNNNNNNNNNNNNNNNNNNNNNNNNNNNNNNNNNNNNNNNNNNNNNNNNNNNNNNNNNNNNNNNNNNNNNNNNNNNNNNNNNNNNNNNNNNNNNNNNNNNNNNNNNNNNNNNNNNNNNNNNNNNNNNNNNNNNNNNNNNNNNNNNNNNNNNNNNNNNNNNNNNNNNNNNNNNNNNNNNNNNNNNNNNNNNGAACUAAUAUGGAAAUCAUGAGCGAAAAGUAAAUUAAAUACCCUAUUAACUAGUCGGGCUAGUCGGAUAUAGUUGGCAUGCCAUAGGAUAUGGAAGAGUACGGGUUAUUGCCGGCUUACUGAUCAGGCACUUAUGUGCCGACUACUGUUACUGUUACUGUUACUGAUUCGAUACUUUGUGUGUCGAAUAUUGUUACUGUUACUGUUACAGAUUCAGCACUUUGUGUGUUGAAUACUGUUACUGUUACUGUUACUGCUACCGUUACUGUUUACUGAUCAGGUACUAUGUACCGUAUUAGGCACUAUGUGCCGUAUUGGUGUGAUUGGUUGGAAUCCGUGUAUCCGUCAAAGUCCGAGUCAAGUUAAUAGGGGUAAAUGAAUAAUUUUGAUAAUAUAAAUUUUAUUGCAUGAUCUUGAAUAUGAAUUGAAAUAAGACAUUGAAUUGAGAUGUGAAAAUGAAAUGUAUGAACCAUGGGUUCAAGAAAUAGAUAAUGAUAUAGUUCAUGAAAUAGUUUUGGUAGUAUGAGAUGAUGUAAAAAUAUAAGCAAAGAGAAGCAAACUGAAAUAGCCAUUGUUGAGAAAUGAGAAAUGAAAAAAUGAAAAUAAAAUGAUUUGAAAUAGUGAAAUAAUAUGUGAAUUUAAUUGAAUACAAGUUAUUGAAAUUUAUUUAUGGAUUUAAUGUAUAAAUUGAGUGUUAGAAGAUUAUAAGUGUAAAUUGAUUAUAAAUGAACGAAUCGAACUGAAAAAUAGUUGUUAUUAUUAUUAUUGUUGUUGAAACAAGUUGAUUUAAUAUAUUAAAUGUUUAUUAAAAGAUUAAAAGUAUAAAUUGAAUAUAAAUAGAAAUGAUAAUGAAUGAGUUGAUAAAUUGAUUGGAUUUGUAUGAACUGGAAUGAGUUAUUAGAAUGAGAUGUGGAAAAAUCUAAUAAAUUUUUUUAUAGUGAAAUAAGUUCUGAAUACACUUAAAUAUAAGACUGAAAUAUUGCUUAUUGUUAUUAAUGAUCAAGUUGAUUUAAAGUAUGGGAUAAUUAAUGAAUAAUUGUAGACAUAAAUUAAAUGUAUAUAAUUUAUCCAUUAAUGUUAUUAAUUUGAAUUAUGGUAAUACCACUGAGUAUUCCCAUACUCAGCGUACGGUUGUUUCCGUGCGCAGGUUAGUAGGAAGCCAGUGCUCGGUCCAGCAUCCAGAGUAAUCCCGACCUCAGAGAAAUUUUGGUGAUGUACUUUUGUUUUGAUAAUGUGGCAUGUACCUAAGUGAUAUAUAGGUUAAGUAUAAGAGUUUUGUGAUUGUGGUUUUAGAACGAUGUUUUAAAUUGAUUAUAAGUAUGAAAUGGAACUAAUAUGACAUAUUUGAUUAAAGU
rnacentral:lncRNA from 1 species